rnacentral:lncRNA from 1 species
AGCAAAUUUUAUGGUCAGCUUUGGACAUUGAUGGACCUUCAACAUCUCCAAACGAGGGAAUAAGAAAUAAUCACACCAUCCGAAACUAAAACAGGCAAUACUUGAUAAUUGUUCUAGCGACAACUCCUUUAGAUUAGGAAGCACUAUCUCCUUCUCAACGUUCACAGGUGAAGCUUGAUCAUCCUUGAUAGAAUUAAUCUUGUUGUUUUAUUUCAGUUUGUUUUGUUUUAAUUCCAGCAGAGUUUAAGAGUAGACGUAACCGUUCAUAUAGAAGUUAUGAUUUAGAGGUUAUUUAGUGGACGUAACUUUUCAUAUAGCAGUUAUGAUUUCAAGGUUAUUUAGAGGACGUAACCUUUCGUAUUUGCUUCUAUAUAUAAUAAGAAAAUCAGAAAAUGAUGUAGAAAGUUAAGCAUCACAAAAAGGCUUCUGUUCUUUGAUUAUUUUGUCUCUGAAUUUGUGUGAGUUUCCCAAAUUGUGUGACUGGCCGUAAGAAAGAAUAACCAUCAUUUGGUAUCAGAGCCAAGGUUGUCAAAGCAAUGGCCGGUGUUGAAGGAGAUCAAUCUCAGACGCUUGCAGUCGUCAAUGCAAAUUGGCGAAGAGGAGCCUCAAUCCCGAUCCAUUAUCCAAUGUUAAGCGAAACGAACUAUGGCAUAUGGGCUGUCAAGAUGAAGAUAAUCUUGCGUUCGCUAGGAGUAUGGUCAGUGAUCGAAGGUGCAGACACAGACGACGACAAAGAUCAAGGCGCCAUGGUAGCCAUCUCUCAAGCCGUGCCAGAUGACGUGAUGAUGGCAAUCGCGGAGAAGCAGACGGCAAAGGAGGCUUGGGACGCACUCAGGGAGAUGCGAAUUGGCGAAUAUCGUGUCAAGAAGGCACGUGUACAAGUACUGAAACGACAAUUGUACAAGGUGCAUAUGCAAGAUUCAGAAACCGUAAAUGACUAUUCGAUGAAGUUGACUGCCUUGGUUGGUGAGAUCCGAUCACUUGGCGCGAAACUUGAAGAAAGCGAAGUUGUUGAAAAGCUGUUCAGUUCGGUUCCAGAUCGAUUUCUUCAAAUCAUUGGGACAAUUGAGCAGUUUGGAGAUGUAGACACGAUGUCGGUUUCAGAAGCUAUUGGGCGUUUAAGAACAUUUGAAGAGGGAUUGAAGGGGCGAUCUCAUACAGAGAGUACAGGAGAGCAGUUGCUAUUCACCCAAACCGAAAGGGAAGCAAGAACCCCAAAGGCAAAGAAAUAUGAAAGUUUCAGCAACAACAAAAGAGGAGGACGUCACUGGAGAGGACAUGGUAGUGGGCGUGGAUAUGGUGGAGGUCGAGGAAAUGGUGAACGCACUAACGAAGACCGAAAGCCACGAAACUUCGACAAAUCCAAGGUUAAGUGUUUCAAUUGUAAUGAAUUUGGACACUUCGCAAAAGAUUGUUCCAAGCCAAACCGAAGAGAGAGGGCUAAUUUUGUUACAACACAAACCGAUGAUGAACCGGCACUACUGAUGGCCGAAACUUGUGUUAUCAGCCACUCAAUACAGAACGAGCAUGUGUUACUGCACGAAGACAAGGUGGUGCCAAAGAUUAAAGGCACUCGAGAGAAGGCUUGGUAUUUAGAUACCGGAGCAAGUAACCACAUGACCGGAUGUAUUGAAAAAUUUGCUGCAAUUGACACGACUAUUACAGGGUCAGUCAAAUUUGGGGAUGGCUCGACUGUAAAAAUCCAAGGAAGAGGUUCGGUUUUGCUUGAAGACUUCACAGGUGAACAUCGAAUACUUACUAAUGUCUACUACAUCCCAAUGUUGAAGAGCAACAUAAUAAGCCUUGGCCAGUUGGAUGAAAACGGAUGCAAGGUUGUGAUUGAAGGAGGUGUUAUGACUAUUUUGGACAGAUUACAAAGGCUAUUAGCAAAAGUGAAGAGGUCAAGCAACCGGUUAUAUAUGCUUAACAUAGCACCAGCUCUACCCGAAUGCUUUCUGGUAAGGAGCAAAGAAGAAGCAUGGCGAUGGCAUGCAAGAUACGGGCAUGUAAAUUUUCAUGCUUUGAAGUCUCAAAGUCAGAAACAGAUGGUGCACGGCUUGCCCAUAAUCGAGCAUGAAGAUCGCAUUUGUGAUGGAUGUUUGAUUGGAAAACAACAACGAAAACCAUUCCCUGCUGAAUCAAAUUUCAGAGCCGAGUACCCUCUUGAGUUGUGGCAUAUAGAUUUGUGCGGGCCAAUCACACUGACUACGAAUGGGGGAAAGCGUUAUUUUAUGCUAAUUGUCGAUGAUUGCACAAGGUUUAUGUGGCAGGUUCUGAUCUCAAGCAAAGCCGAGGCGUUCGAAAGUUUUAAAAGGAUCAAAGUUGCAGCCGAAAUGGAGAAGGGGUGUAAGUUGAAAGCUUUUCAAAGUGAUCGUGGUGGUGAAUUCACAUCAAAUGAGUUCAAGGGCUUUUGCGAAUUAAAUGGUAUUAAACACUACCUUACUGCACCUUAUUCUCCGCAGCAAAAUGGUGUCGUGGAACGGAGAAAUCAGACAGUGGUUGGCAUGGCAAGAAGUUUGCUGAAAAGUAAAAGUGUUCCCGGCGAAUUUUGUGGAGAAGCGGUGUCAACGGCAAUUUACUUGCUGAACAGAGCACCAACUAAGAGUCUAGUUGACAAGACACCCUAUGAAGCCUACUACAAUCGAAAGCCAAGAGUUGAACACAUGGCAGCAGUAAAGCACAUACUGAGGUACGUGAAGGGAACAUUGAACUUUGGUUUUGUGUAUGAGAAGAAAGAAGGAGAUUUGGAGCUGAUCGGGUUUUCGGACAGUGAUCUGGCUGGUGAUAAUAAUGACAGAAAAAGCACUUCAGGAUUGAUAUUCUUUCUUGGGGCAAAUCCGAUCAGCUGGUGUUCACAAAAGCAGAAAGUGGUGGCGCUGUCUUCAUGCGAAGCAGAAUAUAUUGCUGGUUGUGCGGCAGCGUGUCAAGGUGUGUGGCUGAGUCGAUUGUUAGGAGAAUUGCUAAAGGCUGAACCUAAGAAAGUGGUGCUAAAAAUGGAUAAUCAAUCCGCAAUUGCUCUAACCAAGAACUCAGUUCAUCAUGAGAGGAGUAAACAUAUUGACACUCGGUUUCAUUACAUAAGAGAUUGUGUGAAAUCGGGAUUGGUUGAAGUUCAGCAUGUUCGUACCGAGGACCAGCUUGCUGAUAUCUUAACGAAGUCACUGGGAAGGAUAAAGUUUCAGGAGAUGAGAGGAAAGAUUGGUGUACUGGACAUCAAUAAAGAACAACAAGCUUAAGGAGGAGAAUGAUAUAAUUAAUCUUGUUGUUUUAUUUCAGUUUGUUUUGUUUUAAUUCCAGCAGAGUUUAAGAGUAGACUUAAGAGUAGACGUAACCGUUCAUAUAGAAGUUAUGAUUUAGAGGUUAUUUAGUGGACGUAACUUUUCAUAUAGCAGUUAUGAUUUCAAGGUUAUUUAGAGGACGUAACCUUUCGUAUUUGCUUCUAUAUAUAAUAAGAAAAUCAGAAAAUGAUGUAGAAAGUUGAGCAUCACAAAAAAGCUUCUGUUCUUUGAUUAUUUUGUCUCUGAAUUUGUGUGAGUUUCCCAAAUUGUGUGACUGGCCGUAAGAAAGAAUAACCAUCAAUCCUGCCCAAAUACUCCAAAUAAUUGAGAGGAUUUUGUUACUCUAACUAUUUGGAGUUUUGGGAGACCUGAAGCCAUGACUGCUGGGAAGAGACUUUUCAACUUGUUACAUUCUCUAAUCUCAAUUUCACACAAAUCGGGAAACCAUAAAGAUUGGAGAUGAUCUCCUAACAAUAUUUGGUCGUUUUCAUCAUCAUCCUUAGCAAUGAUUUUUAAUUCUGGAAAGCAAGGAGACUCUAGAAUUAUUUCCUUUUCACCAUCCUCUUCUCUGAUAAUAUACUUCAAUUCACCGCAAUCUCUUAUCUCAAGUCUUUCUAGCUUUGGCAGACUUUGAGCGAGGGACGGUGUAAAGAUAAAUGUCAGUUUGUCGAGAUAAUCCAACUUCAGAUGAGCAAGACUUUGGAGGCUGACAUUCCUGGUGGGCCCCUUCCAUAUACAUUUGAGCUCAGGUAACCUUUGCAGCUGUAACUCUGUUAAAGAUGACAGCAGCUCCUUCUCCUCACUGCGACCUUCAUCAGGCAGCUCACCUAAUUCAAAAACAUAUUCGCAGCACCAUUCUUGAAAUCAUGUAACAGCUAACCAACCUUGCCUGAUGCAAACAUGAAGAAAAAAGACGAUCCAUGAUUUAAUUCAACCAUUAAAAUUUGAGGGUAAAGGAGAGGAUAAAUAAUUGCAGCUAUAUCACCUGGUUUGGGCAAGAAAGAAUUAUUAGACUAGCAAUCAUCAUCAUCAUCAUCAUCAUCAUCAUCAUCUUCUUCUUCUACUACUACUACUUCUUUCCACACGUUAUUUCUGGUCCACUCUCUAUUAAUGCUUGAAUCUUCAGCUACUUCGGAUACCUGUAAACCAAUUCAAGCAUGGCAUGCUCAUUUUAACUUGUAAAUCAUAUUAUUGAGCGAAACAAGAGACAAACACACUAAAAGAGAGGCAAGAAAUCAAGUCAAAUCAGCAGCACCUCUGAUUGAGCACUCAUUGAACCAUCUGGUGUAGUAGCAAAUUCUGUGGUCAGCUUUGGACAUUGAUGGACCUUCAACUUCUUCAAACGAGGGAAUAAGAAAUCACAGCAUCCGAAACUAAAACAGACAAUACUUGAUAAUUGUUCUAACGACAACUCCUUUAGAUUAGGAAGCACCAUCUCCUUCUCAACGUUGACAGGUGAAGCUUGAUCAUCCUGCCCAAAUACUCCCAAAAAUUGAGAGGCUUCACUUACUCUCAGUGUUUGCAGCUUUGGGAGACCUGAAGCCAUGGCUACUGGGAAGAGGCUCUUCAACUUGUUGCAUUUUCUAAUAUCAAUUUCACACAAAUUGGGAAACCAUAGAGAUUGGAGAUGAUCUCCUAACAAUAUCUGGUCGUUUUCAUCAUCAUCCUUAGCAAUGAUUUUUAAUUCUGGGAAGCAAGGAGACUCUGGAAUUAUUUCCCUUUCACUAUCCUCUUCUCUGAUAAUAUGCUUCAAUUCACCGCAAUUUCGUAUGUAAAGGCCUGCUAGCUUUGGCAGACUUUGAAUGAAGGACGGUGUGAAAAUAAAUGUCAGUUUGUCGAGAUAAUCCAACUUCAGAUGAGCAAGACUUUGGAGGCUGACAUUCCUGGUGGGCCCCUUCCAUAUGCAUUUGAGCUCAGGUAACCUUUGCAGCCGUAACUCUGUUAAAGAUGACAGCUGCUCCUUCUCCUCACUGGGUCCUUCAUCAGGCAGCUCACCCAAUUCAAAUACCUCUUCCAAUGAUUUACAGCUGUCAACAGUCACUUCCUUUAGAUUCUUCAGAGCUCGAAGAAAUUUUGCUGGAAACGGAGUGCGAACAUCCCCACAAUCGUCCACUCGUACAAUUUCUAAUCUUUUUAAGAAGCCGUUUUGCUGUCCAUGGAUGGCCAUCUUAUCAGAGAACAAUUUUAUAUUUUUUCACUCAUAAAAAAAAUAUUAUAUGAUGUAUAAAUAGGAGAAAAAAAUAGAAAAAAACAGGAUUAAAUACUUCUUAGAGAUUGCAUAUUAUUGUUUCAGUUUUUCUCUUAAUUAUAAUAAUAAUUAGAUUUUUGCGAAAAAAGGUUAAUACAACUCCUAAUAAUUAGUUUCUUGUAAAAAAUAAAAAUAAAAAUAGUAACUAAUAUUUUUAUUUUAGUUAUAAAGUUAAUAAAUAUUUAAAGAUAUUUUAAUUGAAUUAAAUAUUUGAACACAAAAUUUGUAAACACAUAAUAUGAUUUCUAUGAUUAAUUGUUGGUAUUAAUAACGCAAACAACAAUGAGGCAGUUAAGUUUCUUAUAUUUAUAUAUAUUUAGAUAAAAAUAAGCAUUUAUCAAUUACUUUACUUUUAGAAAUUGGGAGGAAGAAAGAAUAAAUUAUCGCAAUUGACAAUUUAAAUUAGUGGAGAAAUAUAAAGUACGUACUUGUAGCUGUGCCAACCAAUUACCCACUUCUUCGUGGCCUUUAAUGGUUAGUUGUUGCAAAGGCAAUUGAGCAUCAAAAUUCCUUGGACCUAAAAAGAUGUAAUUUGAUCUGAACCCAAGAGACAAUUCUCUUAGCUGAGGGGACUUGAUGAUGCCAUCUCUGGGGAGUGCAUCUCCUUCUCCACUGUAAAAUAUUUGCUUUAAAUUGUCAGCACCAUCAAUCGCCAUCUGUUCCAGGUUUGUAAGACUUGGAGACAUGGAGACAGGGAAGACAUAUUCCAGUGAAAAACAGAGAGAUAUUCGGAGAGUUUUUAAUUUUGGGAAGCAAGGAGACUCUGGAAUUAUUUCCUUUUCACCAUCCUCUUCUCUGAUAAUAUGCUUCAAUUCACCGCAUUUACUUAUCUCAAGUCUUUCUAGCUUUGGCAGACUCUGAGCGAGGGAAUGUGUGAAGAUAAAUGUAAGUUUGUUGAGAAGCCAAACACUUAGAUGAACAAGAUUUUGGAGGCUGACAUUUCUGGUGGGUCCCUUCCAUAUGCAUUUGAGCUCAGGUAACCUUUGCAGCUGUAACUCUGUUAAAGAUGACAGCAGCUCCUUCUCCUCACUGCGUCCUUCAUCAGGCAGCUCACCUAAUUCAAAUACCUCUUCCAAUGAUUUACAGUUGUCAACAGUCACCUCCUUUAGAUUUUUUAGAGCUCGAAGCAAUUUUGCUGGAAACGGAGCGCGAACAUCCCCACAAUCCUUCACUUGUACAAUUCCUAAUCUUUGUAAGAAGCCGUUUUGCUGUCCAUGGAUGGCCAUCUUAUCAGAGAACAAUUUUAUAUUUUUUCACUCUCAUAAAAAAAAUAAAUUAUAUGAUGUAUAAAUAGGAGAAAAAAAUAGAAAAAACAGGAUUAAAUACUUCUUAGAGAUUACAUAUUAUUAUUUCAGUUUUUUUUCUUAAUUAGAGAUAAGUUGAAUAAUAAUUAGAUUUUUGAGAAAAAAGGUUGCUAAUAUUUUUGAAGAUAUUUUAAUUGAAUUAAAUACUUGAACAAAAAAUUUAUGUUCUUAUAUAUUAAAUCUAACAGAUAAUAUGAUUUCUAUGAUUAAUUUUUGGUAUUAAUAACGCAAACAACAAUGAGCAAUAAAGAAUAAAAAAAUCAUAAAAAAUAAAAAUAAGCUACCAUGUUUGUUAUAUAAUUAAAAAAAAAAUCAAACCAAUUACUUUAGUUUUAGAAGUUGGGAGGAAGAAAGAAUAAAUUAUCAAUUACUUCAGUUUCAGAAAUUUGGAGGAAGAAAUCAACAUUAUUUGGGAGAUAUAAAGGACGUACUUGGAGCUGUGCAGACAAAUUUCCCAAUUCUUUGUGGCCAUUGAUUUUUAGAAUUUUCAAAGAAGGCAAUUGGGCAGCAAAAUUCUUUGGACCAAAAAAGCUGCAAUUUGAUCUGGAAGAAAGAUCCAGAACACUUAGCCGAGGGAACUUGAUGAUGCCAUCUGUGGUGAGUGCGUCUCCUUCUCCACUGUAAAAUAUUUGCUUUAAAUUGUCAACAUCAGAAAUCUGCAUCUUUUCCAGGUUCAGAAGGCUUGGAGACACAGAUACAGGGAAGACAUAUUCCAGUUUACCACAUCCAGAUAUAAGGAGAUUUUCUAAUUUUGGGAAGCGAGGAGACUCUUGAAUUAUUUCCCUUUCACCAUCCUCUUCUCUGAUAAUAUGCUUCAAUUCACCGCAUUUACUUAUCUCAAGUAUUUCUAGCUUUCGCAGACUUUGAGCGAGGGACGGUGUAAAGAUAAAUGUCAGUUUGUCGAGAUAAUCCAACUUCAGAUAAGCAAGAUUUUGGAGGCUGACAUUCCUGGUGGGCCCCUUCCAUAUACAUUUCACCUCAGGUAACCCUAACAGCCGUAACUCUGUUAAAGAUGACAGCUGCUCCUUCUCCUCACUGGGUCCUUCAUCAGGCAGCUCGCCUAAUUCAAAUACCUCUUCCAAUGAUUUACAGCUGUCAAUAGUCACCCCCUUUAGAUUUUUCAGAGCUCGAAGCAAUUUUGCUGGAAACGGAGUGCGAACAUCCCCACAAUCGUCCACUCGUACAAUUUCUAAUCUUUGUAAGAAGCCGUUUUGCUGUCCAUGGGCGGCCAUCUUAUCAGAGAACAAUAUUAUAUUUUUUCACUCUCAUAAAAACAAUUUAUAUGAUGUAUAAAUAGGAGAAAAAAAAGGAUUAAAUACUUCUUAGAGAUUACAUAUUAUUAUUUCAGUUUUUUUUCUUAAUUAGAGAUAAGUUGAAUAAUAAUUAGAUUUUUGCGAAAAAAGGUUAAAACAACGCCUAAUAAUUAGUUUCAUGUAAAAAAUAAAAAUAAAAAUAGUAACUAAUAUUUUUAUUUUAGUUAUAAAGUUAAUGAAUUUUUAAAGAUAUUUUAAUUGAAUUAUAUAUUUGAACACAAAAUAAGCUAAUAUGAUUUCUAUGAUUAAUUGUUGGUAUUAAGUUUCUUAUAUUUAUAUAUGUUUAGAUAAAACAAAACAAAAAGCAGUGAGGAAGAAAGAAUAAAUCUAACAGAUAAUAUAAAUUACGUAAACCAUGAGGCAGUUAAAUCUAACAGAUAAUAUAUUUCAAAUGAGGCAGUUAUAUCUAACAGAUAAUAUGUUCUUACAAAUGAUUAAUUUUUAAUAACGGAAACAACAAUGAGGCAGUUAAAUUUCUUAUAUUUAUAUAUGUUUAGGUAAAAAAAAUAAAUUAUCGCAAUUGACAAUUUAAAUUAGUGGAGAAAUAUAAAGUACGUACUUGUAGCUGUGCCAACCAAUUACCCGCUUCUUCGUGGCCUUUAAUGGUUAGUUGUUGCGAAGGCAAUUGAGCAUCAAAAUUCGUUGGACCUAAAAGGCUGUAAUUUGAUCUUAACCGAAGAGACAAUUCUCUUCGUUGAGGGAACUUGAUGAUGCCAUCUGUGGUGAGUGCAUCUCCUUCUCCACCGUAAAAUAUUUGCUUUAAAUUGUUAGCAUCAGAAAUCUGCAUCUCUUCCAAGUUCAGAAGGCUUGGAGACACAGAUACAGGGAAGACAUAUUCCAGUUUACCACAGCCUCUUAUGAAGAUUUUUUUUAAUUUUGGGAAGCGAGGAGAGUCUGGAAUUAUUUCCCUUUCACCAUCCUCUUCUCUGAUAAUAUGCUUCAAUGCACCGCAAUCUCUUAUCUCAAGUCUUUCUAGCUUUGGCAGACUUCGAGCAAGGGACGGUGUGAAGAUAAAUGUCAGUUUGUUGAGAUGCGAAACUUCAAGAUGAACAAGAUUUUCGAGGCUGACAUUUCUGGUGGGCCCCUUCCAUAUGCAUUUGAGCUCACGUAAGCAUGACAGCUGUAAAGUUGUUAAAGAUGACAGCAGCGGCAUCUCCUUCUCCUCACCCAAUUCAAAUACCUCUUCCAAUGAUUUACAGCUGCCAACAAUCACCUCCUUUAGAUUUUUUAAACCUUGCCGCAAUUUUGCUGGAAACAGAGUGAAAACAUCCCCACAAUGCCUCACUUCUACAAAUUCUAAUUUAUGUAAAAACAAUUGCUCAAAUGUCUUCGCAUUGAAGGAUGUACCAUCCAAACUUAAUCUUGUCGAGGAUGGGUAUCGUCCUGCAUCAGACCGAUUCCCUAAUAUUAUAUCAUAUUUGCGCCCAUACCCUAUUAUUAUAUGAUAUUUGCGCAAGCUAACUGGAAAAACAAAAUCUCUAGGAAUGCAUUCAACCUGCGGUAUCCACAAUGAUAAUACGGCUAACUGAGACAACGAAUUUAGUUCUGUUAGGCUUGCAUUCAUUCCUCCAGUGCUGUCACAUCCAACAACAUCCCAUCCAUGAAAGCUUUCAUCCCCGAUCAACAGCUCUUCUAACUUCUUCAACCUUCCCAUCAAAUUCACAGGGAUCCUUCCUAGGCUUUCACAACCUCUCACAUCCAACAACCUUAACUCCUUGAGUUCUCCUAUUUCAUCAGGUAAUUCUUCAAUGUAGUAGCACGACAUAAGACCAAGAAUCCUAAGUCUCUGCAGCUUUCUCAACCAAAUGAGGUCCUUGCAAUGACACGAGAUCAACACCAACGAUUGAAGUUUCGUUGAGAGUUCAAGUGAUUGCAACGACAAACGCCCUCCCUUCAGAGACAAAACUUCAAUUUCUUUCAUCCCUUCAAAGAACCUCUGAGGAACAUUCAAACCAUCAUCCACUUCUAAUAAUAGAACUUUGAGCCGUGGACAUACCAAUCCUUCAGGAAGUUCAGCUAGUUUAUUGCCCAUUAACGAAAUUGUUGUACAACCUUCAAAGCUUUUACCCGUCCAUUGCCACUUCUCUAACCCUAAGCCAGCCUUUACCAUGAAUCUAUAUUCUUCUGAUGAUGCUAUCUGAAUAGCAAAGUCACGAACAAGGUCAUGCAUUCUCACAUGUUCUUCAGUUUCAGAGCCCAACAGCAUGCAACAAUCUUUGAGGUUUUCGAUUGCCACAGAAACUCGUUUCCUUGCAUCUUCAAUGGGCUCCGCAUCUUGAAUGAAUGGUAACCCAUAGCCAACUGCAUAUCUUGUCAAGUCCUCGAUUGGAAUGUCAUAGUCUUCUGGAAAUAAACAGCAUAGCACGAAACAUGACUUGGUUUCCUCGAGCUUCAAAUAAUCAUAGCUCAACUUAAGACAUGUAUAAGCAUUAUUUUUUUCGUCAAUUUGUUCCAUGCGCGCAAAUUGAGAUUCUUUGAGCUGUCUAGACGCUGAUUCCCACUGAAGUGCAGAUGCAUCUCUUAGAGCCCUUCCCACUGUCACAAGUGCUAUGGGCAAGCCUUGGCAUUCUCUCGCAACCUCCCUUGCCACUGUGUUCAAGGUAGAGUUCCCAUCAGGUAAACCUGCAUUGAUUCUGAAUAAAUCCCAUGCUUCUUUUUCAGGUAAGGGAAUUAACAACACUUUUAGCUCGCACCCCAUAGAAGAACAUAUGCCUUUAAGACGUGUUGUUAGAAGAAUUUUACAACCCCUAUGAUCAUCACCAAAUGGGAUCCCUAUCUCUUCCAAGUCAAUAUGUUUCCAAACAUCAUCCAGGAUAAUAAGCAUCUUCUCCACUUUCUUCAGUUUCUGCCGUAAUCGAUCAGCUCUCCCUUCUUUAGUGUUUUCUUCAAAUUUCAAACCUAACUUAUCUGCCAUUCGGUUCUGAAUGUCUAUGACAUUUGGAUUCUGCGACACCGUAGCCAUCAAAACUUCAUCAAAAAGCGGCGACUCUCUGGCUUUCCUGCCUACAUCUUUCAUCAGGGUGGUUUUACCCACCCCUCCCAUGCCGUACAGUCCGAUCAUAUUGACACUGUCAUCUUUGAGAGCUUCCAUAAUCUGUUUGAAAGCUUCUUCUGACGAUUUUGAGGGCGUGAAUUUCUUUGAUGGAAGAAAUUCUAUGGGCUCAGGAUGAGCUCUGUGGGACACUUUUGUAGGCUUUUUUCCCUAAAAGUUCUCUGAAAGUCUCCGACUUCUUGGCCAGUGCCUUGCUUAACUUGAAUUGUCGCAUGCAGUUUGGACACCAAGUAAAGCAUUUGCCAUUUUUUCCUAUUUCAUUUUCCAAGGGCUUCGCACGUUCAAUUUCGUCUUCUGCAUCUCCCAGCCACCUUUCGACAUCCUUCUUAAUUUCUUCAGCAUUCCUUUCAGCAGCAUCGACAUCUUUUUGCAGACCAUCUAGUGCUAAAGCAAGGUUCUCCUUUUUUUGUUUGAAUUCUUCAACAAAAUGGUUGAAACAGAACAUGUAACGGAACUGCCUUCCUACUGGUUCCACCAUGAGCUCUGCUAUCUUAGAUAUAACGGAUCCACCCACACUUUCAAGAGCCAUUUUCCACAGGUCUGAAAAUCAAAGAAAUAAGGAUACAGAACGUGAGAGUGAGUCACUACAAGUAAAACAGGCGCAGAGAGAAUGGGAAUAGGAACUUCAUUACCUUAAUUUGGGAAAAUAUGUGAGAAAAGCACUGGCAAUCAAUGAAAUAGCGGGAGGAAGAAAAGGAGAAGGCCUCUAGCUCUGUAUGGAAUCCAGCUUCAAAAGCAACAGGGCAAGAUUCAAACUGACACUUGUGAGUUGAAGUAGUAAUUCCCAUUAAAAAUGCAUCUUGAUGACAUAAUUAAGAUAAUAUAGAGACAGUGACAGAGAAAUAAAGAAACGAAUGAAAAGUUCAGGAUAAUCACAUAGACGUCUUCAUGGAUGAUACCAGCUCGCUACCAACAAACAAAUAUAAUUAACCUAAGUUGUGAUAGGUCAAAGUUUUUUUUAGAUUUAUUUAAAAAAAAAAACAGAUCAACAAAGAAUAAUUAUCGAAAGAAACUCCAUAAAGAAUCAAACUGAAGCAAUUAAAAAUAAUUAAUUUAUUUCAAAUUUAAAUUAUAUUUAUUAAAUUAUAUAUAAACAGUAUAACUUUUAAAUGGCAACCCAAAACACUUUAAAAUCAAAAUAUUCCAUUUCAAUUGAAAAAAUAAAAUAAUUGCAUUCAGCAAUUAAGCACAGCAAUAUUAAAAAAAGAAAAAAGCUAAAAGAAAUACGUUUUUUAUGGCAUCGAGAGUGCGGUUACUUUUUUCAUCCCUUUUUUUUUUGUUUUAUUUUAUUUCAGUCCUUCAAGUCUUUUUCUUUUGCUAUUUCAUCGAGUUUCUUUACUCUUGAGUUGUUGUGCUUGCUCUCGAAUAUGCAUUAUGCUAGGAAUUACAAUUACAUUACAUAAAAAAUUAUAAUUACAAAUUUAAAAAAAAUUAUGAGAAAGGACCAACAUUACAAUGUGAGCAAAUGAAAGGAGAAUUUUAAAUUUUCUUGUGACAUGGUGAAAAGCUAAUCCAAGGAACCAAUAGAUUAUCGCCACUUGUUCACCCUUAUCUGCACAUUAAGAUAGGGGUAGAAAGUAGGAGAGAAAAGUCAUAAUCUUAGAUUCUUUUGUGACAUGGAGAUAAAGGUCAUCUCAAAAGCUAAUAGAUAGUCGCCACGUGUUCGACUUUAUCUACCCUUUAGUAAAGGAUAGAAAGUGCGAGAGAGAAAGGUUAAAAGGCUUUAAAAGAAAAGGAAAAAAAAUGGAAAGACACGGUUGAGAAAACAGGGACGUGGAACUAGAACCAGAAACGGAAGGAGACAUAGAAAGAUCGGAGGGGAGUAAGAAAAAAAUAUGAAUAUGUGAUGUCCUAUUUUAUUUGGAAUUUCUUUGGACACUUUAAUAAUAUAAUAACAAAAAAAAUUAAAAUAUUUAUGAAAUUAUCAUUCAUUCAAACACAUAUUUACUGUGGAAUACAAUAGUAUUUUUUUCUAUAUUUUACGUUUUAGUUUUUGAUAGCCAUGCUCGUUUGAUUUUUUUAUUUUUGUUUUCAUGCUCUUACAAAUAAAGCAGGAAACGAGGACCUGAAAUCACGACAGCAAAUAAGGAGAGAAAUAACGUGUUUAACCGAACCUCGUAACUCCAGGAAAGUGAAGGACUAAACCAUAGUGGCAAAAAUCUUAAAGGGUUCUAAAUUGUCUCUGUUACUUUCCCUUAAUUUUCUAGACAAGCAAAAGGAGCUAAACUUAUUCCCGACCAAAACAUCAAGAAUUUCAGUAGAGCAAAAGUAGAGAUUAUUACUUGACCAUAAACAACUAGUCAGCACUACCCAAAGAAACCGAGUCAAUGAGAGAAAAAGACUAUUAGCUAGAAAAGAAUCAACAGAUCCAAGAAUUUUCUGUAUGGUUUCCAAGAAAAUGAAACGAAAUGAGCAGCACAACCCUCUUUCUCCACAAGAAAAGAAAAGAAAAAGAAAGGAAAGAAACAAAGAUAGAAAGUCAAACUUGGCUUCUCUUUAAGUGUUAUAAAAAAAAAAAAAAAAAAAAAAAAGUUCGAGGAAGUGGGCAGCCUUUUUUCUGCUGUUUAUGUGGUGUUCUGCUGUUCACGCAGACUAAGAACUCCUACCAUCGUAAAAUCAUAUAAUUAAAACACAACAAAAAAAAAGUAAUGAGCAGCUCAUUAUGUGCGAAAACCAGAGAAAUAAGGUUACAGAACGUGAGAGUGAGUCACUACAAGUAAAAGAGGCUCAGAGAGAAUGGGAAUAGGAAUUUCAUUACCUUAACUUGAGAAAUAUAUGCGAAAAGCACUGGUAUUGAGUGCUCAAUGAAAUAGCGGGAGGAAGAAGAGGAGAUGGCCUUUAGCUCUGUAUGGAAUCCAGCUUCAAAAGCAACAACGCAAGGUCUAAGCAUUUUGAUGACAUAAUUAAGAUACUAUGCGUAGUAAUAUAGAGACAGUGACAAAAAAAUAAAGAAAAAUAAUGUGUAAAAGUACUCACCUAGCAAAGAAAGAAACGAAUGAAAGGUUCGGAUAAUCACUUAGACGUCUCCAUGGAUGAUACCAGCUCGCUUCCACCAACAAAUUUAAUUAACCUAAGCUGUGACAGGUGUUUUUUUAAUUUAUUUUAUUUUAAAAAAAUACAGAUCAACAAGAGAAAGAGAAAAGACUUGCAAAAAAGUAGAAUUGCUGAAAGAAACUCAACAAAGAAUCAAACUCAAGCAGGUUAAUGAUUGACCUAUAACAAUAUUUAAAAAAAAAUAAAAAAAGCUAAAAGAACUACGUUUUUAAUAGCAUCUAGAGUGCGGUUACUUUUUUCAUCCCUCAUUUGUGGUUUUAUUUUAUUUCAGUCCUUCAAGUCUUUUUAUUUCGCUAUUUCAUCGAGUUGCUUUGGUCUUGAGUUAUUGUGCUUGCCCUCGAAUAUGCAUUAUGCUAGGAAUUACAAUUACAUCACCUAAAAAUUACAAUUACAUAUUAUAAUUACAAAUUUCAGUUUUUUAAAAAAAACAAUUUAUUAGAAAGGACCAAUAUUACAAUGUGAGCAAAUGAAAGGAGAACUUUAAAUAUUCUUGUGACAUGGUGACCAGGUAAUCCAAGGAACCAAUAGAUUAUCGCCACUUGUUCAGCCUUAUCUCCACAUUAAGGAUAGGGGUCGAAAGUAGGAGAGAAAAGUCAUAAUCUUAGAUUCUUUUGUGACAUGGAGAUAAAGGUAAUCUCAAAAGUUAACAGAUAGUCGCCACGUGUUCGAUUUUAUCUACCCAUUAGAAAAGGAUAGAAAGUAGGAGAGAAAAGUCAUAAUCGUUGUGACAUGGAGAUAAAGGUAACUCAAAAGCUAAUAGAUGGUCGCCACGUGUUCAACUUUAUCUACCCAUCCAUUAGGAAAGGAUAGAAAGUAGGAGAGAAAAGGUUAAAUGUUUUUUUUUUAACUAUUCAAUAUAUUCAUAGAAAACACUCAAAAUAAAAUUAUAGACAAAAAAAUAUAUAUUUCUUAUUUAUUGAAAACAUAAAAUUUUAAUUCAUGCAUUUUUUUUAUUUAAAAAAUGUAUUUUUUAUGAGUAACAUUAUUUUGCUCAAUGUCCCUAAUACAUAAUUAGUUAUAAAGUAAUGAAAAUAUCAUAAUAAAAAUUCCUAAUCUUCUUGAAAACAAUUAAAUAAUUGAACAAUCACUUAAAUAUUAUUUUAAUAAAUUGAUUGAAAGAAAUUUUUAAUUAAAAAUAAAGAAUAAAGAAUAAAAUGAUAUCUAAGAUAAAGGUCAUACAAAUUAAUAAAUUAUAAGUAGCAAUAUUUAAUGCAAGUUUAAGAAUAAGAGUUUGCUUUGUGUUUUGUUGUGAGAUUAACCAUAUCAAAUUAUAUAUUUAAUAAUAAAUAAUUGUGUUGUGUUAUGAGUAAAAUCAAUAAAUUAAAACACAACAAUAAAAAAGUAAUGAGCAGCUAAUUAUGUGCGAAAACCAGAGAAAUAAGGAUACAGAACGUGAGAGUGAGUCACUACAAGUAAAAGAAGGUCAGAGAGAAUGGGAAUAGGAAUUUCAUUACCUUAACUUGAGAAAAUAUGUGCGAAAAGCACUGGUAUAUAACAAAUAUACUGAUGAAAGGAAGAAGAGGAGAAGGCCUUUAGCUCUGUAUGGAAUCCAGCUUCAAAAGCAAUAAGGCAAGGUCUAAGCAUUUUGAUGACAUAAUUAAGAUAAUAUGCGUAGUAUAUAACAAAGAGACAGUGACAAAGAAAUGAAGGAAAAAAAUGUGUACAAGUACUCACCUAGCAAAGAAAGAAACGGAUGAAAGGUUCAGGAUAAUCACUUAGACGCCUCCAUAGAUGAUACCAGCUCGCUUCCAAUAACAAAUAUAAUUAACCUAAGCUGUGAUCGGUCAAUGUUUAUUUUAAUUUUCUUCUUUUUUUAAAAAAAAAAAAAACAGAUCGACAAGGGAAAAGACUUGCAAAGAAAUAGAAUUAAUGGAACGAACACAACAAAGGAUCAAUCUCAAGCAAUUAAAAGUAAUUGUCUAUGAGUACCAUCUGUGUCACACGCUCAAGUGAGGAGAGAAAAGAAAAAGAAAGAAAGGAAAGGGACAAGGAAGGCAGAAAGUAAGGUCACGUAGGGCCAGUCUUGUAGAAAGUUUGAAAAGUAGCAUGAAAUAAGAGGAUAAUAGCAUAGUUGUCAGAAUCAAAACACGUAUAAACAGAGGACAAAAACAGGGAGGGAGGCUGUUUUUUUUUUUUUAACUGUGUCGAGUGCUUUUUAUAAUUAUAUUUAAUUUACAAAAUAUUAAAUUAAUAUAUUUUUUAAUAUUUAUUGUUAUUAUAUAUAUAUAUAUAUAUUUAAUAUUUAAUAAAUUUUUAAAUAAAUUUUUUUUAAAAAAAGUAUGUGUCACAAUACAAAAUUAUAUAAUAAAUUAAAAAAAAAAGGAGUUUUAUGCUCAUUAAUAUUCACUAGACUUGUAGAUAUUAAUAAUAAAGUUUUUGAAAGUUUUCGAUCUAGUAUUUGAACUUAUUUUUUUUGCAUAAAUGAAUUUUUUUAAGCUUAAUUGCAGUUUUUUUAAGGAAAUAGGUUGAAUUGAGAAACAGAGAAACUCGGCAAAAAUACGUGGUUAAAAUCAAUCCAUUUUUUUAUAAAAAAAACUCCUUAGUUGUUGAGGAAAGAUUGGUAGUGGGAACAAAUCACCAAAGUCAGCAGCAAGGAAGUUCCGAGAAGUGGGCAGCCUUUCUUCUGCUGUUCAUGCAACUCCUACCAUUUUUAAAAUAAUAUAUUUAAAAUACAAUAAUAAAAAUGUAAUACGUAGCUAAUUAAUGUAUUAAGCAGCUAAUUAAUGUUGCUGUUCUUUCUUCUUGUUCUGCUAUUUUGAUUUUAUUGUAUUUUUAAAAAACAUUAUGAUUGUGAAAGCUAGCCAAACCAUUAGAGCAAAGCAAUGUCCGAAGGUUUUUGAGAGUGUGGUUGUUGUUAUUUUUUAAAGUGUUUUUUAUUUAAAAAUAUAUUAAAAUAAUAUUUUUUUUUAUUUUUUAAAAAUUAUUUUUGAUAUUAACGCAUCAAAAUUAUUUGAAAACACUAAAGAAAUACUAAUUUGAAGUAAAGAAAAAAAAUAAAAAUUUUUUUCAAAAGUACUUUUGAAAUGUAAAAACAAACAGAGCCUAGUGUAGUUACGCCCAAUGUUGUCCCGAGAUAUUUUUUAUAAUCUAACUUUUUUAAUAUAUUUUUUUAUUUAAUUAUGCAAUAUAUUCAUAGAAAACACUAAAAUAUAUAUUUCAUCAAAAUUCUCUAGUCUGAUUUGAUUAUGUAUUUUUCUAAAAAAAAAAAAGUUUUUGACUAUAGAAAAAGUAAUAAGAACCAGGAAAAGUAUCCUAAGAAACUGUAAUGAUUUGAACUAAAAAAAUAUUUUUUUUUAUUGAAAACAUAAAUUUUUAAUUCACGCAUUUUUUUAUUUAAAAAAAAAUGUAUUUUUUAUGAGUAACAUUAUUUUGCUCAAAUGUCCCUAAUACUUAAUUAUUCAUAAUGUAAUGAAAAUAUCAUAAUAAAAAUGCCUAAUCUUCUUGAAAACAAUUAAAUAAUUGAACAAUCACUUAAAUAUUAUUUUAAUAGAUUGAUUGAAAGAAAUGUUUUAUUAAAAAUAAACAAUAAAGAAUAAAAUGAUAUCUAAGAUAUAUAAAGGUCAUACAAGCCUUCAAAGAUAAUAUAUGUACAUGUACAAUACAAAUUAAUAAAUUCUAAUUAGUAAUAUUUAAUGCAAGUUAAGAAUAAGAGUUUGCGUUGUGUGAACCAUAUCAAAUUAUUUAAUAAUAAAUAAUUGUGCUGUGUUAUGAGUAAAAUCAGUAAAAUAUUUGGUGUUCUGUUGUCUUGUUGUUUGAAUUAAAAUUAUUAUUAAGAAUAUAAAUUAAAUUAAAUAUUUAAAAAACUAAAUGAAUUCCUUAAUAAAUAAAUAAAUUCUUUCUUUAGAAAGCAUGGAAAUGCCAUGACAUUGGCUUUAUAGAGAAUACUACGAAAUUAACAGCCAAAAAAGUUAUCGAUAGCUGUGUAAAUCAUUGGAUUCGAUGGAAGGAAGAUGGGAAGAGGGGAAAUGGGUAACUGGAAAUUAAAAAGAGAUGAAGAUAUGUGCAUGGCUACCUGUUUUUGAGAAUCAUGGAAAGUUCUCCCUAACUUAAAACGGCACCAAUUAUAAGUUCAUUAAAACAAAUCUGGAACACAACAGAUGGAAAAAACUCGAAACAACUCGUCUAGAAUAUAGGCAAUGAACUCGAAACAACAGAUUUAUUUCAUUUUGUUUUGUUUUUUAAAAUAAUACAAGAUAUAUUAUCUAUUUCAGGUGAAACAUAAUGGAAACGACAACCUUUAAAGGGAGUAGAGACCACAUAUGUGUCGCUCGAAUUCAAUAGCCUUUCUCCUAUACUGGCAUGUGCUUUACACGCACCAGCAUUUCUUUCCUUUUUAUUAUAUAAUAUUCAACAUCGGUGAGUGAGGAUUUGGUAGCUGGCCUUAUUAGUAGUGUUGGUUGCUGAAUUGUCAGGCGUGUUUUGGGGCCAUGCGUGGUCACCAAGAACAAAUCCGUGAGGGCGGUAAAGCUCCAAAAUGAAUAAUUGCCCAAUCGAGUUAACGUUUUAUGGUCUUUUCUCCAUGAUUCGGGUUGAACAUUUGACAUUUAUCCUUUUUUUCUAUAGUCUUUUCUCCAUGUUCAUUGUGAUGACACACACUUGCGACAACCAGUAAAUCUAUAGUUAAUUUCAUUUUUUGAUAAAAGAUAAUACCAUGGAUGUAGAAUGGUUACCAAUUGUUAGUUUAAUAUGCCUUGUAGCCAAUCAGUUAGUUACACAAGCCAUUAUUAUAUUCAUGUAAAUACAUAUUUAUUAUUAAUAAAGACUUAAUUUAACUUUAAUAUUCAUAUAAUAUUAGAUUAAUGAAUCUAGAGUAUAGAUAAAGUUUAUGUGCAAAAAAUGCUUUGCAAAGAAAAUUAUAAAGUUGCUAUAAUUAUGAGAUUUUUAAUGCAUCAAAGUAUUGUUCAUAAAAUGAUCUUGGUCGAUGCUCUCUUAAAUACUAGAUAUUUAUUAGAGCCAUAAAAACUGAUACAUAUUAUAUUUUUUCUUUAAUGAAAUGAAGCAACUGUUCUUAUAAGUUUAGCUAUAAGGGAUACCUAAAACUAAUAUGUAAGUGCUUGUCAUAAGACAUAUACACUGAAUUGACCCGCAUGUGAAUUCCAUAUGGAGAGAUUACCUAUGUCUAUGGAAAGACUCACGUGAUGAUUGUAUAUGUAAUCCUUAGGCUUGAGAUCACUAAGUUAUCUUAUAUAGAGAAUGUUAUGCUUUGAUCCUGUUACAUGUUAUCUUAAUUGAGGUAACAAAAUGAUAUAGAUUGGGUAUAUCAAGAACUAUAUGAAGGUACUUGAGUGAUCAAGAGAGGAUUUCAUCACCCUAUGUGAGUUAGAAAAAAUGUUCCAUCUGUUCUCAAAUAGUAUUGACUGAGAAAUCUUUGGCCAAGGUAGAAUGAGAUUUAAAAAGAGUUUCAAAUCUUAUUCAAAUGAUCAAUUAAUAUUAUGUAGAGAAUGAACAUGAUUUAACAUGUCAAACAUACUUCAUGCUUUAAUGUUAAAUAAGAACAUUAGUAAUAAAAUGGUAUUAAUUACAAUGAGAAACCGAUAAUUGAAACCACUAAUGACUUUUCUAAUAUUUUAGGGGAUCAUGACACGUUACUAGACAAUGCACAUGAUCUUCAAAUCUUUAAUUCUAAUUUAUUUAAUUAUAAUUAUAAUUUAUAUUUGGGCCAAUAUAUUAGGAACCUAAUAGGUCAUACACAUUAAGAAUUAAACUAUGAUGAUUUAAUUAAGUAUAACUUGAUUAAAAUAUAUUUUAGAAAUUAAGGACUAUAAUAUAAUUAAUACAAGGAUUAUAUUUUCAGAUCUAGAAAAAUCAGGUAAGGACUUGAUUGAGUUAAUUUAUAAAAUUAUCUUAAAUUAAUAUAUGGAUAUUAUUCAAUGAGGAAAUUGAUAUUUUGUCAAUUUAUAGGGUUUUUUAUAUUUCCUUACAAAUAGUAAGCUAUGCCUCUUAAUUUUUAGGAGUUAUCUGUUAGACAGAAAAACUACGUAUGUCACAGAAUAAAGAGAUAACACUCUAGAUAUAACAAUCCCUCUCUCCUAAAUAAGGACUUAUGAGAUUUUUCAUUAAUGGUUCAUGUGGAUUACCGUUGAAAGACGAACAAUUGAACGACUUCUAGUUUACAACAAUUCAGUCUUUUAAAAAUUAUUCAAAAUCGAAGAUGAUCAAAUCUUCAGAUAAUAAAUUCCUAAACUCUAGAUCUGUUUAACGAAAUUCUAGAGAAUCCUAAAUAAUUUUAUAACCUCUUAAUUUAUGCAAGAACUAAGCUAGAUUUCAUCCAAGCAAUCACUAACUCUAGUAUUUUCUGUGUUAAAAAAGGAGACUUCCUGGUGUUCGCCGGAACUUGGGUAUACUAUAUUUGAACAAAUAACAAGGUAAAAACAUCUUUUAACGAUAUUAAAAUAAUUUAUUAAUAUAAAUUACUUUUUUUAUAUUAAUAUUAAAAAUAAAAAAAUAUUUUAACAAACAUCUACUUAUUCAAACACUUAAAAAUAAAAAUCUUAAAAUCACAGCAUGAUAAAAGAACAAAGAAAGGAAUGGGACAAGGAAGAAAGAAUUAAAAAAAUGAUAUAUAUAUAUUCUAGUUUGUUGUUUUUCUUUAUAUAAUUUAUAUAAAACCAGCUUAUUUAAUGGAUCAUAUUUAAUUAAUCAGGACUAAAUAAAUAAAUAAAAGAUAUACUCUCUCUUCCCAUUUCCUCUCCCAACUGAAUUUUGGCGACCACCACCCACACAACGAUAGCCUACAGAACCACCAGCCAUACCACUUUUCAAGACCCCUUCUCCAUUUUCCCUCAAUUUUCUAGACAAGCAAAAGGAGAUAAACUUAUUCCCGACCAAAACGUCAAGAAUUUCAGUACAACAAAAGAAGAGAUUAUUACUUGACCAAAAAAAACUGGUCAGCACCAGUGGCGGAGCCAGAGAUUUUUAAAUGAGGGGGCAAAUUGUUAACAAAUACUAUAUUAUAUAGACAUGUAUUAAAAAUCAAUUCAAAACAUAUAUAUUAAUUCAUAUCAAUUCAAAACAUAUAUAUUAAUUCAUAUCAAGUAAAAUUAAUAUAAAAAUACUUUUAAAAUGAAAAAACUUAAAUUAUAAUUGUUCUCUUCGAGUUUUCAUAUUUUGAAACCGCUUCAUAAUAGCUUCAUUAUCAAUCUUAUCGAAGAUAUCUUUCUCAAUGUAUACAACCAAACUAUCAUUCAUCCACUUAUCUCCCAUCUUGUUCCGCAAUCUACUCUUGACAAUAUGCAUAGCAGAAAAAACUCUCUCCACUGUAGCAGUUGCAACUGGUAGAAGUAAUGACAAUUUGAUAAGCAUAUAUACCAAUGGAAAUAUCAAAUUCUUCUUUGUUUUUACCAUUUUCUCUGCAAGACUAGCAAUACCUUCAAUACCAGAGAACUCAUCAUCACCACGUAGAUCAAUAAUAUACGUAUCAAGUUGGUCACCAAGUACCAUAAGGUCCACUAUAGAGAAUUCACUAGGAUAAAAAAGAGCAAGACGAAUAAGCUUUUCUUUGUUGAAAGUAGAGAAAGAGUCAUUUGGGCUUAAACAUGCCACACAAAGAAGUAACUCCAUACUCGUCUCGGUAAAACGAUCAUCCAAUUCAGUAAGUUGUAUGUCAAUGAUAUUGUUAAACAAUUCAUAACGAAAAUGGUGUAAGUUUGUAAUCCCUUGAGAUUUUCGCCUUGAACGCCCACGAAGCUUGUACUCAUCAUCCAUGUUUAGAAUAUCAAUAUCAUGUUUGAUGCAAAAAGAUGACACUUCUUCCAGUAAAGAUUCCCAAUCAUUCUCUCUCAUCAAUUUGAAUCGUUCCUUUGAUGUUUUCAAUAAACUCAUAGCAUUUUCUAUGUCUUGAUCUUUUCUUUGUAAUGCUUGUGAUAACUCAUUAGUAACUGCUAGUAUCCUUCUCAAACAAUGAAGCAUGAACACAAAAUUAAAUGAUUCCAUAAUACCUGUUAAAACAAUCGCUUCCGUUCUCUGUUCUGAGUUCAUCCCAUCCUCCCUUAUAAUCUCAAGCACAUCAAGAACUGAUGAAAACAUUGCAAGUAAACGAAUAAUUGUAAUAUAGUGGGAGCCCCAACGAGUAUCACCAUACCUUCUAAGAGAAGUUUCUUGAUUCAAGCCUCGUCCACUAGAAAUUUCCCCAUUUUCAAGUCCUUCAAUAAUUCUAGCAUAUUGUUUUUCUCUAAUCACCUCCAUCCUUUUACAUGAUGCUCCAACUAUGUUUAUAAUGCUAGAAAUAAAAUUGAAGACAUCUCCAACUUCAUUAUGCUUCUUUGUAACAGCCACAAGAGUCAAUUGAAGUCUAUGAGCAAAACAAUGUACAUAAUAUGCACUUGGAUUGUUAUUUAGAAUAAGUGCUUUCAAGCCAUUGAAUUCACCUCGCAUGUUACUAGCUCCAUCAUAUCCCUGACCACGCAAUCUUGAUAUACUUAACCCAUGUUUAGAAAACAAAGCUUCAAUAGCUGCCUUGAGUGAACUAGCAGUUGUAUCUGACACAUGUUGAAUGCCAAGAAAACGUUCAAUUAUAUGUCCAUUGUUGUCUACAUAUCGUAUAACAACUGCCAUUUGUUCCUUGAUUGAUAUGUCACGUGACUCGUCAAUUAAAAUUGAAAAUAAUGAUCACCUAGAUCUUUGAUAAUCACAUUUGUAAUCUCCUCUGCAGCAGCUUAAGUAAUGUCUUUUUGAAUAUCUGGAGAAGUCAAUUUGUUAUGUCUAGGAGCUUCACUGAAAGUAACUCUUUUAAUAACUUCAUUAUUUUUGGAAAGGAAAUGCAAGAGCUCUAGAUAAUUUCCUUGGUUGCUUGAACAUUCACAUUCAUCAUGGCCACGAAAUGGAAGUCCUUGGUGCAACAAAAAACGAGCACACUCUAUUGAAGCAUUCAAUCGAGUUUGAUAAUCACUUUGACUCUUUACUGUCUGCUCAGAUAACAAAGUCAUGAUACUUUGUUUUUCAUUCAUCAAAUUCUCACAUUUUAUCCGAGCUGCAUUGUGACUACUAUUAGACUUUCCAAUAUGAAGAUCAAAUCUUUCCUUUUUUUUCCAAUUUGAAAACCCAUCACCCACAAACGAAUCAACACCCCUUUUGACUUGAAGAGGUAACAAUACAAGCAAAAGGCAGCAUCUUUGGCUAUACUGUACUCUAACCAUGUUGGGUAUGCACCAAACCAAGCCGGAUUAAAGCGUCGUAGUGUUGAUAUAUUCCCAAAUUGUUUUUGAGGAAAAUCAUAGUGUGAAGGUUGACAAGGACCUUUUUGUAGAUAAGCUCUUCGGAUUGCAUCCCUAUCAUUUAUAUGGUACUCAUAAAUUGGUCUUCUUAAGCCAGGGUCAGCAAGAAGAGUGUCAGGGUUGAUUUCAAUAUGACUUUUCUUUGAACUUGAUUGAGUUACAUGACUUGAAGCUUUGAUUGACUCCUCAUCCUCAAGGGAUUUACGCUUGAAAUACUUGUCCAGUGACAUGUUAAUUUAAUAUGAACCUGCUGGAUUUUUUAUCAUCAUUAGUGUCUACAUAAUAAUUAACACAAGUACACAAUAAUUCACUAUUAAACAAAAGUCAAUUGAAUUACACAAUAAUUCUAAAUCUUUCAUAUGAAAUUAAUAACAAAAUACAUGUCAAUUUAUCAAAAUCAAAACCUAUUUCAAUUCAUAUCUAAAUGCAUAUAAAUUAUAUGAUAUAAUAAGUAUGUUGAUUAAAUUAUACUUAAUUAUUUCUAGACAUUUAAUUAAGGAACAAUGCUUAGUGUAUGUGUAAGAGGAACAAUACUUGAAAAACAUGCUUUCUACUUGAUAUUUUACUUACAAAUAAAUCAUGUGAAAAUAUUAAAUUUCAAUAAACUACUCUAUCAAUGCAAGAGAUGUCAAGAAUAGUGGUUUUGCAUGAAUAUUAAUUUAUUUUUUAUAAUAAGAAAAGAAACACUUAAUUGAUUAAAUUACAGAUUUAAAUAUUUAUAGAGAACAUAUUCAUAACAAAACCCAUAAAUUAUCAUAAACCCUAAUAUUUUUAAUAACUAAUUAUAAAAGAAUAAAACUAAAAUUAGACAAUAAAAUAAAUAGAAAAGAUGAAGAAAAUUUACCUAAAGUACAAAGCAAAAGGCAAAAAAGCUUAAUUGAUGAUUAAAUUUGUAUAUAGGAGACUAGGAGAGGUAGGAACGGUGGCUGAAAAAAAAACCCUACAGGAGAAGAUAAAUAAACAAAAGGGAAAUAGGGAAAAUUGGGGAGCUGUAAAUUAUAAUAUAUAUAUAUAUAUAUAUAUAUAUAUAUUGGGGAGCUGUAAUUAUAUAUAUAUAUACACUUUCCGUAACUGUAACAAUAACAAUAGCUAUUGUAUAAUAACUUUCCUUACUUUCCGUAACUGUUGUUGUAAUUCAUUUUUGGGUCCCCACUUAAAAAAUAAAAAAAAAUAUAUUAUACAAAUAAACAGUAAAACAAAUGCCAGGGCGCCUUAAAAAUGCCCAAAAAUUGAUUGAGGUUGUUCAAAAAACAUGAAAACUAAUUUUUGACAGUGUGUCAUUGACUGAUGAGAGCCCCGAUGAUAAAGAAAAUUUAAUUUGAGGAAGAAAAAUCCAAAUUCAGAAGUUUAUGGACUCAAUUAAAUUUUAUUAAAGGUUUAAUUGAAUUUAUGGAGAGUUUAAUUGCAAGAAAAAUGGAUUUUGGAGUUAAUUUGGGUUUUAAUUAGAAGAAAUUAAUUUUUCCGGGGUCAAAUUAUAUUUUUUGGAAGUUCAUUUGGCAAAUCAGGGGCUUAAUUGCAUAAAAAUUGAAGUUUAAUAGCCAAUUAGGGACUGAAUUGAAGAAAUCCGAGACCAAGGACUAAAAUGCAAAACACGCGCAAAUUGAAGGUUGUCUUUGAAAUCUGACGCGUUUUGGCGCCUUUUCCUUUUAAAUGAAACGACGCGUUUUGACCAAAACGGCGCCGUUUCAUGCACUGUUUAUUAAAAAAAAAAAAAAGAGUCCAAAACGGUGCUGUUUUGACGGCACUGUAGAUCUUCUUCUUCCCCUGAACUUUCUUUUCCAUUUUUUACGCAAUAAGACGCCCACCAUUCGGCGCCCACUUGCCUCCUUUUUCUCCACUGAUCGAUAGUGGAGGGGGCGGCCAACAGUGGCCUCCCCACCGUGACGUCCCCCCCUGUUUUUGCCUAUAAAAACAGGGGAAGGGGAAAGAAAAAGAAGAGGAGAAGAGAGGGAGAGAAGGGGAAGGAUUUAACGACAGAAAGAGAGAGAGAGACGAGAGAAACGGAACGAAAAAAUAGAAAAAAAGAAAAGAAGAAGAAGAAAGAGACACGACAAAGGAGAGAAAAAGAGAAAAAAGAGAGAAAGAGAAAGAAGGAGGACCGUCGCUGGAACCACGGCGACAGCAGCACCGCCUCCGCUAGAACCGCCUCGACGCCACCCCGGGUACCCUCCUGCUCCCCGAUCAUUUUCUUCUCCUGCUGCCCAGCCUUGCAUUUGCAUGCAGAACAUGAAAAUGUUAUUUUGUUUAUCUUUUAAUAUCCCGGGUAUGACAUUAUACGUAAUACAUAUUCCGGAUAUUUGAUUAUUAGUAUUUUAAUUUUCUUUCUUUUUACAUUAGAACCUGGGAUAUGACAUUACAUGUAAUGCGUAUUCCGAACAAUAAUAUAAAAAAAACCACAACACGAUUUUAGAUUUUAUCAGACAUUAAAACAAUGCAGCCUACCUUAGGUAGGGCGUAGUUGGGGUGCUAAUACCUUUCCUUUACGCAACCAGUCUCCGUACUCGAUCUCUAAAGACUAGUUAAGGUUCCUAGUAACCAGAAUACUAGGUGGCGACUCCCAGUCCAUAUUUUCACUUGUAGAGACAAGAAUUCCUUGUCUCUCUCUUUAUUUGCCAGGAAUUGCCCCCUUUUGACCCACUAUGGCUCCGCCACUGGUCAGCACUGAAAGAAACCGAGUGAAUGAUGGAAAAAGACUAAUAGCUAGAAAACAAUCAACAUAACCAAGAACUAUCUGUAUGGUUUCCAAGAAAUUGAAAAGAAUCAAGGAGCGCAACCCUCUUUCUCCUCCAAGAAAAGAAAGAAAAAGAAAAAGAAAGGAAAGAAACUAAGAUAGAAAGUCAAACUUGGCUCCUCUUUCAGUGUUAAAAAAAACACAAAGAAGUUCGAGGAAGUGGGCAGCCGUUGUUCUGCUGUUCACACAGACUAAGAACUCCUAAAAUUGUAAAAUCAUAUAAUUAAAACACAGCAAUAAAAAUGUAAUAAGCAGCUGAUUAAUGCUGUUGUUCAUUCUUCUUGUUUUGCUAUUUUGAUUUUAUCAUAUUUUCUUAAGAAAUUAUGAUUGUGAAAGCUAGCCAAACUAUUAGAUCCAAGCAAUCAAAUAUAGAAACUAGCAUAGUUGCGCCCUGUUCUCCCAAGUACUUUGUAUAAUCUAACUUUUUUUUAUAUGAUUUUUUAAUUUAAUUAUGCAAUAAAUUCAUAGAAAAGACUACAACAUGAAAAAUAUAUAUUUCAUCAAAAAUGUGUAAUCAUUCAUGUAUUUUUCUUAACAAAAAAAAAGUUUUUGAUCACAACUAGAAAACCGGAGAAAACCAAUGGAAUUACCGAUAAAAAAAUUUUGUUCGGUAAUUUUAUCGACGGAAAUACUUUCUUCGGUGAUACGGUCGGUAUAUACAGAUAGAAAAUACUCGUCGGUGAUCCUGUCGGUAUAUACCGACGGAUACAGUCCAUCGGUAUCUACUGACCGGAUCACCGACGGAUUAAAUAGUUUUUUGGAAAGUUGCAAUGAUGCGAUGACGUGGAUUUUUUUUAGAUGAUUUUACUGACAGAAUGACCGAUAUAUUCAAACUGGGAUCUCCAUACAAUGACAUGGCACAUUCACUGGCGGAAUCACCGACGGUUUGACCGACGUAAACGGUCCGUCGGUGAUUCCAUCGGUAAAAUGGCGCCAAAGAAGUGUCAAAUUCUAAGUCAAUCCUCAAUUUGUUAUUUAUUCAAUGAAGUCCUUAAUUGCAAUUUUGAUUUUAAGAAUCAAUUCAAUUGCAUCACUGCCAAAUUCAAAUUUUAAAUCAAUUCAAUUUUUAUUUUGGUCCUUGGCCUUGGAUUUAUGCAAUUUAAACCCUAAUUAACCAUCAAACUUUUAAAUUUCUUCAAUUUAGCCCUUGAUUAUCGUCAAUUGGAUCCCUAGAGUUUUUAAACUUUAAUUGUUUCGAAUGAUAAUAAAAUUGACUUCUAAAAGUUGAUUUAAAUGUUGAUUUCCCUUGCAAUUAAAACCCUAAUUAAUUUAAUUAAAUCUAUGAUUGAAAAUUCCAAUUGAGUAUUUAAACACCCAAAAAAGAAUAUUUUUACUAAUGAGUUUUGUCAAUUGAAACUGUGGAUUACCAUUUUGGCCUACUAAUUUCACUUGGCAUUUAGGUCUUCCUGGACAUUUCAUUUUAGGCUUGCUUGAAGUGUAUAUUUCCUUGCAUUUAUUUUAUUAUUUUAUUAUAAAAUGGGUAACAUAGAUAAUAAUCAAUCACAUAAAAAUACACAAUGAUUUAGGGCACGCACAACUAUAAUAGUUUAUUUCCAUUUAAAUGAAUCCUUUACUACCGAAACUCUGUCCUUACAGUUAAUAAGAGCUUUCUGAAUAUGAUUUCGGCCAUUUUAGUAGUCUCAACAUUUCAUAAUUAUCCUUCCCAAAACACAAGUGACGUGAAUAUCUUUUUAGUCUUCGUCGAUACAGUUGACUCAUAUAUAUAUAUAGUCUAUUAUUUUUUUGUAAGAAAAAUAAAAAUAAAAAGAAUAAAAAAUUGGGUUAUAACAUUAACAAUUAAAUCCAAGCAUAAUGUUACUCUCUAUUAUAAGAAUUUAAUUUAAACACACAAAACCAAUAUUAAUUAACUCAUUUAUACCACAUUUAACAAUUUCAACCCAAACAGUCCUAAAUGUCAUUAAAAUAUAAGAAUUUAAUUUAUUCCUAAUUAAAAAAAAACAUUAUUUCUAUUUUUAUAAGUUUUUCUUAAAUGUUAAUUAAAUAAUUGUUUUUUGAUCAAAUUUUAAACAAUUCAUUCGUAUUUCAAUUCAUAUAUUUAUAAGAAUUUAAUUUUUUUAAUUGAUUUUUAAAUUUCAUUCUAAAUCUAUAGUGUAAAGAUUAAACUGGAUUAUUGUAAAAAUCAAUAGGAGGUCUUGCUUGUUGGAACUAAUAAUGCCCUCUUUUUUUUGGCAGCAUAUUCAUGUGGUUUUAUUUAAUUUCUCUGGUUAGUUUAUAAAUUUAUUUUGUUGGUGUCAACAUUAAUUUAUUUCAAACAAAUUUUCUUAUCUAAAUUUUGAGAGUCUUAAAUAAGAAAUUCUAUGAUGUUGAAUUUGUAAUCAUAAUAUUUACCACAUAAACAUAAAUAUAAGAAUAAGAGAUAAAUAUGAAAGAGGGGAUUUUUAAAAAUAAUAUUAUCAUUUCUUAUAGAAUUGAAUUUUUUUUAUUUUUUUAUAUAUCUAUUUCUAUUUUAUACUAUAAAUAUUAAUAUAUAGAUAUAAUAACAUAAACCAGUAGAGAUCCAAACAUAAGAAAAUAUUAUUAUUAUUAUUAUGGGAUAAACUAGCAUGAAAUCCAGAAAUGGAUAAUGCUCGUAAGCCCAACACAAAGCAAUACCCAAAUGGAGUCCAACUAAGGAAGUAGAAAGGGCCGAAGGGACUCUUUUUACAAGGAAGCUGCCACAUAUUAAAAUAAAAACUGUUUUUUUUAAAAAAAUUAUUUUUUAAUAUUUUAUUUUAAAUUAAUAUGUUUUUAGUAUUUUUAGAUCAUUUUAAUGCGCUGAUAUCAAAAAUAAUUUUUAAAAAAUAAAAAAAAUAUUAUUUUAAUAUAUUUUCAUGUCAAAAAUACUUUAAAAAGCAACUGUAGCUACACUCCAAAACACACUCUAUAGUCAUCAACAAAUAGAAGAACAACAAUGGAUGAACUUCAAGAAAGAGAGAAAAAAAAAAAGAACUCAAUGCAUCAGAGAUCAAAUACGUUAGCUAUGGUGGUGAGCAUCACCUACCAUUAAUCAUGAAUCUUGUCGAUCAAGAACUUAGCAAGCCUUACUCCAUCUUCACCUACCGUUACUUUGUCUAUCUUUGGCCACAACUUUCUUUCUUGGUAAAUGUGAUUCUUUUUUUCUUUUAUGUUGUUGGGAUUUUUUUUGGUGUUGUAACGGUGUUUUUAUGGGUUUUCAAUUUCAGGCGUUUCACAAAGACAAAUGUGUAGGGACUGUUGUUUGUAAGAUGGGGGAUCAUCGGAAUUCAACUUUUAGAGGUUACAUUGCUAUGUUAGUUGUCAAAAUGCACAAAAUUAAAACUAAAAACCAAAAUAAAAAAGACAGUUAACUCUAGGGCUAACAUUUGAAUUUGACAGGAAUAAUUGAAUUAAUUCUUAAAAAAAAAAAAAACAGUUAAAAAUGGUGUCUUUUCGAUGGCAUUGUGCAUCUUUCUUCCCCUAGAUGUGUUGUAGGCAGGGGAAGAAGGUUUUUCUUCCACUUCAUUGCAGCUUCUCCCUCACCUCUCUCUCUCACUUGCCUGAAAACACCGACACAACUCACAUCCCCCUUAUAGCCUACCACCAUGAUGAAAGGGGGUAGAGGGGACAAGCCCUGUGGGUGGCCCUGGGAUGGCUACAUAAUGGCUGCCCAACCUCUCUACCCCUUUGGCAUGAUUGGACAGAGGUAAGGUAAGUCUCUUUCUCCUUUCCCCUUAUAAAUACCGCCCUCACCAAGAGGUGAGGGGGAGGAUGAAAAGAUUGAAUAAAAAACAGAAAAUAAAGAGAAAAAAAGAAAAAAAACAAGGAAAAAAAACAGAGAAAGUUUGAAGGGAAUAAACAGAAAAGAAAAAGAGAAGAAAAGAGAGAAACAAAGAAAAAAUAGGAAAGCAAACUCCUCGGCCUCACACCAUCUUUCCCCCCUACUAACUUCACUAUAGCUCCUAGAACCACCAUCAUUUUGCUUCAUCACCACCACCACACCAUCGUGAGCCACCAUCAACCUUAGUUCCCUUAAAACAAAACUUGUUGGGCCGAUAUCGGCCCAACCCUUAUUUUAGGCUAAUAUUGGCUCAACUCUUUUGGACCGACCUCAACCCAAUUUCUCUUUGUGUCAACUUCAGCCAAAUUUCUUUUAGGCCAAAUCUCAGCCUAAUGAGGGUGGGCUUAGCCCACAUAACUAGGCCAUGCUCAUCCCAAUAUUUUAUUAUUAUAUAUUUAUAAUAAUAUAUAAUAUUUUUUUAUUACAUAUAAAAGUAAAAAAAGCAACAAAAAAUCCCAAAACAAUUCCAAAAACAUCCUUUCAAAAAUUUGUGAUUUUCUCACAAAUGUUUUUACCAAUUUUUAUUGAUAUUGGUUUGUAUUUUUAUACUGUAAAGAUAAAAAUCUGAUAAUAAAAUACCUUGUUUUCUCUAAAAUUUUGCAAAAAAAUUCUAAAAGAAAUGUUUUGUUUUCAUGCAUAAAAAAGGAAAUGUUUUGUUUUCAUGCAUACAACUAAGUCUCUCAAAAAAAUAUAUAUAAAAAAUCUUAUCAUGCUUUCAUACAAAAAAGGAAUAAAAAAAGAUAUUAAGUAUUUCUUUACCGAGGAGGACUUUUCUUAAACCUUAGAUAAACCAUGUAACAGUCUGACUGUAUUACUUGCUCAAUGUUAAAAGAUCCCAACAUAUCCUUUUUAUUUUAGGGUAAUCUUUUUUUAUUCACCAAAAAUUCGGUAGGGUUUCAUUUGUAUUUGGGACAUCCCAAAUUAUCGACUACAAUUAGUUUACUCAAUCAACCCAUCAUCACAAGGUCCUGUAAUUCCGGACGUUUCAUCAAACAUCAUAAUUCAACACCUUCAUACAAUCCACACAAUAUAUAUAUAUAUAUAUAUAUAUAUAUAUCCUACGAGUAAGUUCAAGAUGAACAUAGUCUACAUAUCAUAUCAUAAAAUUUAAAAGAAAAGGACUACUAACAUGUAAAGAAAGCAUUUACAGCAUAAUAAGUAUAAAUUUUCUAUCGGAUUCAUAAGAAUUCUAAUAGACAACUUAUAUAUGUUGCUUGUAAAUCUUUUAAACCCAAUUAACACUCAUUUGCAUAUUCUUAAUUUGGAUACUUUUAUUUACUUACGUGAACUGGGUGACCUUGCAAAAUCUAAUCUUGAAAUUCAUUUACUAGCAAUCCUAUCACGGACGCCAUUAGCCGAGGCAAAUCUUGUAAUUCAUCUCCCGAUAUUCCUAUCACGGAUGCCAUUAGCCGAAGCUAAUCUUGUAAUUCAUCUCCCGGUAUUCCUAUCACGGAUGCCAUUAGCCGAAGCUAAUCUUAUAAUUCAUCUCCCCGCAAUCCUAUCACGGAUGCCAUUAGCCGAAGCUAAUCUUAUAAAUACGCUAGGCUUUAUUUACUUUGAACACGAUAUUUAUUAUAAUUACAUUCGCCAAAAGAAUUUUAAAUUGUAUAAGUGCAAAUAGGAGGGAAAAUCACGCACCUACUUCGCCUGUCUCGUGUGUCUCGUGACCUCCCCUAAUAGAAGAUCCAAUCCUGGUUGCUCCUCUUGAAUCACAAGGAAGUUUUAGGUUAUGAUUCCUUAAAGCCAAUAUUAUAGAGAAUCCUUAUUCAUCCAUUACUCAUAUGUUACUUUCUAUACUUGUUCAUUUCCUCAUAAUAACAUACAGACAUAUAUCAUGCAUAUUUUCAGAGUUAGUAUCUUAAUGUACAAGUGUUCAUAUGACUUCAUUCUUUUAUAUUCUUAUAUAUAGUAUUCACGUGAAAGUUUACUGUUACUGUCUAACAUUGAAUUGUUACUGUCUACACAUUGAACUGUUACUGUCUAGACAUUUGAACUGUUACUGUCUACUUUUUGAACUGUUACUGUCUAACUUUGAACUCUUACUGUCUGAACACUCAUCAAAUUUUUAAUUAUAUCUAAAAUUCUAAAACUCCAUUUUAAGUGAGAUUGAUCUCGUUAGAAAGUUAAGACACGAGACUACUAGUUCUCUGAAGGAAGGAGAACCCAGUUCUGCCUCCAAGAUAAUCAAAAGUGCUCAUCAACUAAGCAGUCUUACUGCCCUAUAUAAUCAGUCACGACUCAGUCUCGGCUGGUAACUCAUAAUUGGAGUUCUACAUCUCCAAAUUGAGCAAGACCGGUUUUCUUGGUUAGCUAACAUUCAAAUCUACAAUUUUUAUGAAGGAAUCCAAUCCUAAUUUCCAUCCUCCUACUUGAAAUCUCACCAAAAGUCAGGAGACAAGUCUGUCCAGAUUCGUCUCCCCCCUCCCCUUCAUACAAUACUUUCAUAAACUACAUACCACACACAUAAAUUAACUUAAUCUUAAAAAUAAGUACUUUUUCCCCAAUUCAUGUCUAAGAACCCUAACCUAUGAUUCAAUAUCAAGGCAUCAAUUCAUUAUCGAAUUUAAAAAUGAAUUUUUUAAGAUCAUGUUUAGAACACCUUACCCGGUACGAAUUAAGAUUUUGAUCUUCAACUAGUUGAAGAUUUUUAACUCCCUCUUUUCUUUUUUUUUCUUGUUCAAUUUCUUGGUAAUCCCAUGCUCUCAAGUGUUUAUCCCAUCUAUAAACCCUUAAUCUUGGAUGGGUUCUUGAAAUUUUAGCGUUUCUCUCUUGAUUUCGCAAAAAUAGGUAUAAAACUCCCUAUUUUCUCUCCUUAUGGUUCCUGCAAAUUUUUGGUGAGGAGAUAGUACUUAUACUUUAUAUUUUCCCUUAUUUGCAUUUAGGCCCCUUUUUCCUUUAAGUGUAUUAUUCUCUUUAAUUAAAUUCAACCCUCAAGUAUCGGGUUUAUUAUCAUGUCUCGAAUUAUUUCACCUGGAAAUUUAUAUUCAAAAAUUUCUGAAUUCCUGUUUUUAUUUAACCAUAUAAAUGAAUUUCUUUAUUUUUCCCGGGGUUUACAAACCAACAAUUAGAAAUCACAAUAAUACCUUAGUUUAUAUCAGAUAAUUAAAUAAAGCAGCUUACCACAGGUAAGAUGUAUUAUAAGUGUUAAUAUCUUUCUUUUACGCAAUUAGUCCAUGUAUCCAAUUUCUGAGACCAGUUAAGGUUUCUAUUGACCAAAAUAUCUGGUGGCGACUCUCAUUUUCUCUUUCCACUAAUAAAAAACUAGAAUUAUUUGUCCUUUUCAUUUCUCGAUCCGAGAGGAAUCACUUUUAAAUCUCAUAACCUCGGCUAUAAUAACUAUGUUUUGGUACCAUUUUCAAGUAUUUAUAUAUCUAUGCACAUAACGUGUUAUCUAUUGAAAUAUUUUUUAGUUAUUUUUUAUGACUAUAAAAUAAAAUCAUAGUUUUUGUACUGCAAAACCUAAAUUUUAUCUUGCAUACACCGCCAAAAACGUUUAGGAACCUCAAAAACUCUUUUUUUUUUAACCCCAAAAUAUCUUCUAAUUAGCCUAAAUAGUAAAAAUCAAUCUAAAUAAAAAAAAAUAUGGGUCUAAUAAACUUUUUCUAGCAUGGUUAAAAGGCAAAAUCAUCUUUAUUAAACUCCCUUCUUCAAAACAAAUCCAUUAAUGUUAAAAUUAGUCUUUUUAUGACCGGAAUAUGAUUAGCUUCUUUUUUUUUUACCACAUUAAUUCUCCCCCCUCUCAACAUUCAAUAACUAAAAAUAUGAUAAAAAUGAAGUUUUAAAACAGAGUCGUAAAAAUUUUAAACUACAUGAUUAAAUAAAUCUAAAAAACAAAAACUUCAAGGACCAUAUUAAACUUUUCUACAACUUUCAAAAAAGAUUGCAUUAUAGGAGAAUAGUUUAAUGCACAGUAACUUGAGUCUUGCUGGACAAUAAAAUUUGUUAUGGUAAGAAUAAUAAAUGUUUUAAUUUAGAUUAUAACACGAAGCAUGCACAAUUAAGAUUACAACAAGGAGAUUUCAAGAAGUAGUUAAACUUAGGUUAUAUUAGAUAUGACUUUUGUAAAUUGAUUUAAAAUAUUUUUGAGUUUUGAUUUUAAUUUGUUUUUUGAAGUAAGUUAAAAUAGCUUUUGAUUUAAUUUUUUUUUGUUAUAAAUUGGAUUCAAACCUUUGAUUUAAUAAAAAACAAGAAAAUUUUGCUUUAGUUUGUGGAUUUUAUACUGAAUUCUUUAUUAAAAAGUUAUUUUGAAUCAUUUUUACAAAUAAUGCUUAUAUCUUACGGUUAUUUUAGUUUAUUUUUUUCAUAAAUUAUUUAUAAAAAAAACUUUUAAAUUAUAAUUCAAAUUAAAAUAUCAUAAUUAGUUAUGAAUUGGAUUCGAUGAAAGGAAGAUGGGAAGAGGGGAAAUGGGUAACGGGAAAUUAAAGAGAGAUGAUGAUCUGCGCAUGGCUACCUGUAACAGAACAGAUGGAAAAAAGUCGAAACAACUCGGCUAGAAUUUAGACCGAGGAGCAUUUAGAGGAUAGAAUAUUUAAGUGAGAUGAAUUUUGUCUCACUUUUUUCUAUUAAACCGAGGAGCAUUUAGAGGAUAGAAUAUUUAGAGUCUCUAGCAAGAGCCAGCAAGGUAUCUGCUCGAAAAAACCAUUCAACAAGAGAUUGUUCUGCUAGGAAAACAUGAUAUCAGUAUCAAACUUUUGAGCAUAUAGUACAGCAUAAAGUCUCAGUCAUCUUGAAAUAUGUCGACAACAAGUCACAUAAGCAUAUGCAAUAGAAACAGAGCAUCAAACAGACAGAGAAAACAUACUGAUGCAGCAAAUACCGAAGUCGUAGAGCCAUUAGUUUGAGCAGAAAGGAAAAUGAAAGUCCACACAUUAAACUGUAAACAUUAUGCCCUUGUUUUUGAAGAUUUAGACACUUCAAAAGAAACACACGCUCCUAUUUUUGGGAAGUUCACAUAGCAAACACUUAGAUAAGUCGACAUCUUCUUUUGGUAAAUAAAACUGUUACAAUGUGAAUCCAAUUUCUAUCCCAUUGUUACAAAAGCUUCUUGUGAUGAUUUUGAGGGUGUAAAUUCCUUUGAUGGAAGAAAUUCUCUGUCUUGAAGAGGAGCUUUGUGGGACACUGAUGAAAACGUUUUUGUAUUUUAUUCAAGGUUUCUCAAAGUCACCGUCUUCUUUUCCAGUGCCUUGCUUAACUUGAAUUUUUGUAUCCAAUUUGGACACCAAGUAAGGAAUUUGCCAUGUUUUUCUAUUUCAUUUUCCAAACAAUUCACAGCUUCAAUUUUGUUGUUUGCAUCUUCCAGCCAUUUGCUGACAUCUUUCUCAAUUUCUUCAGCAUUCCUUUCAGCAGCUUUGACAUCAUUUUGUAUACGAUCUAGUGCGAAAGCCAGGAUCUGCUAUUGUUUAUUGAAUUCGACAAAAAAAUCAUUGAAACAGAACAUGUAACGAAACUUCCUUGUUGCUGGUACCAGCAAGAGUUCUGCUAUCUUAGAUAUAAUGGAUUCACCAACACUUUCGAUAGCCAUUUUCUGCCGGUCUGAAAUCAGAGACAUAGAUAACGACUGAGAGUGAGUCAUUAAGUAAAAUAGGCAUUGAGAGAAUGAGAAUAAAAAUUUAUUACCUUAAUUUGUGAAAAUAUGUGCGAAAAUCAUUGGUAUUGAUUGCUCAAUAAUAAAAUAUAGCGAGGAACGAAACGAGAAGUCCUUUAGCUCUAUAUGAACCCUUCUUCCAAAGCAAGAAGGGAAGGUAUAAAUAUAGCAAUAAAAAGGUAGAAAUAUACUUUAUUUAUUUUUGGAAAAAUUACCCUAGUAUUUUACAGUUUAAUUGAAUUAUAUUUGCUUAACGUGUUUGAAAAAAAUAUCUUCUAUCCUAAACUUUUAUGCGCUUGUAAUAAUUUACAUUCUAUAAUUAGCGUGAUAAAAAAAAAUCAACAGAAAUUAUCUGAUUAUUUACGAAUUUGCUAAUAUUUUUCAUUUAAUGACCAAGAAAAUCAUGUUGUGUUAAAAUAACAAAAAUACCAUAAAAGCACAAAUUUGGAUCUAUACAUUAACACAAAAGGAAAAAUAUCACCAUCCAGUUAAGUUAAAUAUCAAAUUUAUUGAAGUGAAACUUAUGAGGAAUAUAUUUCAUAUUCUGGAGAAUAUACGGAUGAGUCAAAGUCGCUGAAUCAAAAUUCAUGCUUUAGAGAGUUUUGAAUGCUUUACAGGAGCAGUGAAAUAUUGAAGUGAGGAGGGUUCAUAUUGAUUCCAUGAAGUUAAAAAACAGAUCAACUUUUCUUACCCUACUCACAAACAACGUUGGCAAAUUUACAGCAGAUCCCAUAGAAAUAACAUUCUUACACCCCAACAAGUCAGAUCCCAUUCUGCCACACCAGUUGCUGAGUUGCUCGGAGGCUUCAGUUUUGUACCAAACCCCCCCCAACCAGUCAUCAACUGGUGCACUUUGCUUUGCAGCCUUUGAGGAAGAAGUAAAAGCCUCCAAAAAUAUCAUCAUCAUUAUUAACAGAUGAACUAGACCCAUUUAACCCACCAAAAUAUAUCAUCAUUAAAAGAUGAUUUCGCACUCGUAUUUUUAGUACUGGAAAACACAAAAUCAUAACCGAAAUCAAAGCCAGUGCUAUUUUGUUUUUAAUUCUUUUGAAAAACAUCAAAAAUGUCAAAAUCAUCAUCAAAAUUCUAUAAUUUUGAAUUGCAAAAGAGAGUUUCGUGAUAAUCCAUGAAUGACCUUUCAAAAGAAUUGGAAUAGUAGGUUAAUUUAGAAGAAUAUGAGGAGGGUUUCUGGUUUGAUGAAGGGAAAUUCAAAUAACUAAACUGGCUAUAUGUUUCUUUGAGGAUGAAACAUGCGAGAGAUUCCACCACCCAGGACAAACAACUACAUUGAGAACAAAUCCGUGUGAGAAAUCAAUUUUAAUAGUAAUUUUUUAUUUUAAAAUAAAUCACAAAUUCUUAACUGUUUGUUACUGAAAAAGGAGAGAGGGAGAGAAAUGAUGUCUUUAGAUGUUUUUGAAUUAUAGGAUGCUAGGGUAAUUUUUUUAUAUAAAUAUAUAAAUAGAAGAUAGUGUUAAAAAAUCGAAGGGAGCUUUUACAGGAAUACUAUUAUCUAUUUUCUUUUCUCAAAAUCAAUAAAAAAGAAUUUCAUUGAGAGAAAAAUAGUAUAUUAUCAAUCUAAUGACUACAUUUAUAUUUACAAUCUUCCAAAGGAACAACUUUAUGUUAAGAAGAGGAGAAAUAUUAUAACAAAAUAAUAUUUAUUGAUUCAAACUAGUGUUAUAGACACUUGUGAGUAAAAGUGUCAAUUCCCAUUAAAAAAAAAAAUGCAAUUUGAUGACAUAAUUAAGGUAGUAAGACUAAUACAGAGACACUAACAAACAAAUAAAAAAAACAAUUUGUACAAAUACUCACCUAGCAAAGAGAGGGACGGAUAAAAGGUUCACCACGGUCAAUUUUGUUUUCUUUUUCUUGGUUUAAUUUUUUUUUUUUUGAAAAUGAUGAAUAAUAGAAAAAAAGAAGAAGAAGAAAAACUUGCAAAGAAGCACUAUUAAUGGAACGAGGUUAUGAUGAAAUCUCUGUGUCACACUCUCAAAUAAUAUACUUUAUCCAUUAUAUUUUGCAUUAUAUGUUCAUAACACAUCAAACUCCCAAUUUAGCAUUCUUAUGCAAACUACAACUGCAGAAGGCUUGUGCAUGUAGGGGAGAGGUAGGAAGAGCUGCAAAAGUUGUCGCAUCUAUUGUUAAGCUGUUCAGAGUUUCUAUCUCAUCAUCCAAUCUGCCAAACAUUUAAAAGACCAUGUGCAGGAAUUGAUCUCAAAGGGGUAGCACCUCAUAUGCCUACGGGAGAUACAUAACCAAUGAUGGUUGUUCUAUCCAUAAAAUUAGCUAACAUAUGACUAUUUUAUUCAAUUAACAUUUCAGGAUAUGAGUUCUCCUAGCCACACUCAAAAGCCCUAGCCACUAGAUGAACAAAGCACCUAAAAAAUUAAUCACCUACCUAAUCCAAUACAUGAAAAUUUGGUUGAAAUCUCCUACAAUGAAACGAGUUAAUUGAAUGCGAGAGUUCGAUAAAAGACUGGUUGUGCAAGGAGAAAAAAACAUUACUCUUAGUACACCAUAUUUAAGGUAUGCUACAUUAUUAUUUAAUUAUUUUUUAGGUCAUGCUUCUAUUCUUUGGUUUUUUCUAAGGUCUAAAAUAGAUCUUAUUUCGUGAUAGAGUCUCUAUUUUAUUGGAUGAAAUCCUAACCGUUUUGAAGUCUAAAUUAUAACAUCACAUUUAUUUCCAAAAUACAACUAAUUCCUAACAUAAGGAUUGUUAUGAUUUUUUUGGUAUUUUGAUCAAAUCCUAAUCGAUAAUCAUAAACUGAUUGUAAUAUUUAUUUUUGUAUUUUUAAAAAUAUCAUAAAGAUACAAUUUUUGUUUAUAUAUGAAAAUAAACGUGAAUUUUUAUUUUAAGAUUUGGUCGUAUGUAAAACAAAACAUUUUUUGAAGUGAAAAUUUAUUUUUUGAAUUAUCAAUUUAUUUUUUAUUUUUUUAAUCUUUUUAAGAUUUUAGAGAAAACCGGCUAUUUUGAUCAAGUUUAAUUUAGUUCUUUCAUUUUUUAUUUCUCUCAAUUACACCCUUGAUUGAUUUCAAAUUUUCAAUUUUAUGCAAUUUCAUCCUUGAAAAAUUCAAUACCAACCCUAGAUUUCAACCCGUUUUUCACAUUAGUCCUUAGUUUCAGAUUUAUACAAGUUGACCCUUAAGUGACCAUUAAAUUUUUAAUUUUCUUUAAUUUUAGCCCUGAUUUUAAUCAAUUGGGUCCUUAGAGUUCCGUGUCAUUUACAAAUUGGUCAUUGGUUGUGAAUUUCUUCAAUUUAACCAUUAACUGACCACAAAACUUUGAUUUUCUUGCGAUUUUACCAACGAUUUCAAUCAAUUGACUUGGUAAAAAUUAAAUUUGGUCUCCUAAAAUUCCAACCUUCUUAAUUAAGCCCGAAUUGGGCUCCCAAACUUAAUGUUUCACCAAUUAAGCCCCUAAUAAAAUUAAUUUGACUAAUUUAAAGUAUAAUUAAUCCUUGCACCUAAUUAAAUUCAUUAAUUGGACCCAAAUUAAUUCUUAAAUAUAAUUCAAUUUCAAUUUGGCCUAUGAUUAAAUCAAAUUGGCCUAUUAAAAAUCUAAUUAUGUUUUUAGGCUUGAUUUUUAAGUAGAUUUGUCCAAUAAUCAUUUAAUUUGUUCUUAAAUCUGCAUUGUCUCUUUAGUUUUGGGUGUAAUGGGGUACAUUUAGGCUCCUAAUAUCAUCCAAAGUUGUACCUUGAUUUGAAAUCCUCCCAGCUUGCUUUUGCCAAAAUGUGAAUCCUUAUUUUAUUUAUUCUAUUUUUUAUUUGGAAAAGAAAAGGGAUGAAUAUGAGGAAUAACCCAGAAAUAAGUUAUGACAAUGAGAACUCUACAUUCUAUGAUUUUAUUUUUGAAUAUAUUCUUAUACAUUUAUAAUUAUAAGAAACGUUAAAAGGUAUGGGUAAAAUAUUAUUCUCACACCACUAUUCACUCAGCGUUGUGGAUUGCCUUAAUGUUUUUUUCAUCCUGUUCUUAUAGGUCUAAAUUGAUAGACAAUUUUAGUAAAUUUGUUAAGGAAGAGCAAAAUUUAAACACAAAUAACCAAAGUGAAAGAAAAAAGCAUAAAAAAGGGUGGUAGUUUUCGGAUUGAAGCCAAAAGUUCACUUUGGUCCUCCUACUUUUUGAAUAAUAACUUUUUGGUCCUUUAAGUUUUCCCACAUUUUAUUUUUGGUCCAUAACUUCGUUUCUCGAUUUUUUUUCAUUCCUUAGUUUGAGAGAGGAGACAGAAAGUCAAUGGAUUACAAUGUUAGAGAAAGUCUCCGUUGACACUGAUUUUCACAACAAAAACAGUCGAUUUUGGUCUUAAUAGAUUCCAUUUGAUAAAGAGAGUUCUAAUGAGGUGUUUUUUGCUCUUGAAAUUUCCAAAAUGUUUAUGAUUUUUUGGGCUAAUUUAUUGGUUUAUUUACAUUAUAAGGAUCAUUUUUAGAUGUUUUGGUGUGAACUUUGUUUAAAUUUGCAUUCUUAGGCCAAAAAACACCCUACAUGAUUUUCUAGCCACCCCUUUAAUAGUAGAGAACUUGAAAGUCUCAGUAGGUGACAUGUUGUUUCCCUUUAUCUUUUUUCAAAAACAUUUGGGGCAUUUUCAAAUAAAAAAAUAAAGUUCACCGUAAACUAGCCCUUUUUAAAAUGAGCUUGAUGUGCGUGCUUGACUUGAUAGGCCUAAAAACGCCAACCUAUUUCUUUAUUUUUUUUAAUUAUGUUUUUUAAUUGAUAUUUUAUAUGUACUUUUUAAUGAAUUUUUGAAUUUAUAUUUGAAUUAAUGAUUUUUCUUUCUAAAUUUUUAGAUAGUUUAUUUAGACUUUUUUAAAUUGUGGUUAUCUUUUACUUAUCUUUUAUGUGUUUAAUAUCUCGAAGAAAUUAUUCUAAUUCAUCUAUAAUUUUUUUUAUGUUUUAUAUAAAUAAACUUUAUUUUCAUGAUGUGUUUAUAAAAAUAAGAAUUAUUUGUUCUUGGUAAGAAAAAAUGAUCUUUAAGAUUAAAAGAAGAAGAAGAAGAAGAAAAAAAAGAAAGGUGUGCAUUAAGGGAAAAGUUGAGGUUAAAUAUUAUAUUUAUCUAUCUUUUACUUUUAUGAAAAUGAUUAUUAUUUUAUUUUGUAAUUUGAUUGGCAUUAACAAUUCUUUAUUAGUUUAUUAGUUCAUAUUUUUUAAGAUUUAUUUUGUUUCACAUUUCUCAAUUAAGAGAAUCAUGAUACAAUGAAAUGCAUUUGAAACACCGUCCCAUUUUUCUACUACAUUAAAAAUUAACUUCCUACAUGUGGCAUGUUGCGUUAACAAUUGUUUUUGUAUUUAUUAACUUAUAUGAUCCCCAAUUUAUUUUAUUAUAUGUAAACAUCAACUUUUUUUAUGCACAAUUAUAUUUUUUCUCUCGAUAUCAAAAAAUAUAUUAACAACACUUAUACAUCCAUUCUUUUGUGUUGGAAAAUAUUAUCUAACCCAUAGCGAAGCGAGUUAAAUAAACAUGUCAAUACCUUUUUUUUUGUAUUUAUGAUUAGGUUUUUUUCUUUUGUUAAAAAUACAUUUGAAAAGCAUUCAUAUUUAUUUAUUUUGAUAAAAAACAUUUCUGACCCAUAGUAAAGUGCGAGUCAAAUAACUACUAAUAUGGCUAUAGUGAGUGUCUUUUUAGUAUAUGUGGAUGUAGGAAGCAAUGUGUUAUAUUAUUAGUUAGAUAUAACUUACCUAUUCAUUAUUAAAAAAAAAACAUACAAUAAAUAAAUAUAUUAAUAGAAACCUAAAAGAGAUCGACUGAAACAAUAUAGUCUCCGAGAGAAAAUAUUGUGAAUUCACGCAAUGUUUACUUUCUAUUUUUUUGUCUUUUUUUUAUUUAGUGAUCUUUGAUGAUGAAUUGAUUAAGAUUUGAGAUGGGAAAUGUAUUUUUAUUUGUUUUUUUUAUGGUUAUCUUGCUCUCAGUAUGUGAAAAUUCCUAUGCAAGGAAUCUUUAAGAUAUGAAGAUCUUAUGCUAUAGAAGCAGAGAGCAUAUUUGAAUGGAAAGCAAGAACUGCCUUCAGAAAUAAUAUUGCAGAAUUUCUUAUACAAUCGUACUUCUUUCUGUGUACAUGAAUGAGUAUAUAUAUACAUAUAUUCCAACUAACUAACUAACUUUCUUUAACUAAUUAACAGAAUAUAACUAACUUCUAACUGUUUUAACUGUCAGGAUUUAACAGUAAUGCAUAUAUAUUUAAUCUGCUGGGAUUUCUUCUGCGUCUGCAUGGUGCUGGGAUGUUUCUGUCGUUGUGUUGAUCUUUGGAGGAUUGUGUAGACUCCAAUAUCCCCCCUCAAGAUGAGAAUGGAUAUUUAUCAUUCCCAUCUUGGCAAGGAUAGGAUUAAGAGUGAGAUAUCCAAGGGGUUUGGUGAGGGCAUCGGCUAGUUGAAAUCUAGAAGGGAUAUGAAUGAUAGUGAGUAAUCCAUCUUGCAGUUUCUCACGGACAAGGUGACAGUCAAGCUGUAUAUGUUUGGUUCGUUCAUGAUGGACUGGGUUAGAAGCAAUCUCUGAGGCAGGUUUGCUGUCGGUAUAUAGCAGGGCUGGUUUGGAGUGAGAUAUAUGAAAAUCAUUCAACAAGUAAAGCAGCCAUUGCAGUUCACAUGAGGUAGUGGCCAAUGCACGAUAUUCUGCUUCUGCUGAGGAUCGACUAACAGUGGGUUGUUUCUUGGACUUCCAUGAGAUGAGUGAAUCGCCAAGAAAAACCAGGUAGCCGGUGACACUACGUCUAGUAUCAAUACAUCCUCCCCAGUCACUGUCAGAAUAAGCUUUCAAAUGGAAGGUAGAAUCAGCUUUAAGAAAUAUUCCUUGUCCAGGUGUGGCUUUGAGAUAUCGAAGGACUCUUUCGGCAGCUUGCAGAUGAAUUGUAUGAGGGUUGGACAUGAAUUGGCUUAGUGUUUGGAUUGCAUAGGACAAAUCUGGGCGUGUGAUGGUAAGGUAGAGAAGUCUGCCAAUUAACCGACGAUAAGAAGCAGGGUCUGACAGAGAGGGCUAUCAUCAUUAGCACUGAGUUUUAGUGAGGAUUCCAUAGGAAAUUUAGCUGGUUUAGCUCCAGAAAAACCAGUAUCGGUGAGGAUAUCUAAGGCAUACUUUCUCUGGCAAAGAACAAUCCCUGUUGCAGAUCUAGCAACUUCAAUGCCUAGAAAGUACUUAAGGUGGCCUAAGUCUUUGAUAGGAAAUGUGGUGCGAAGGAACUGUUUAACUUGGUGGAUUGCAGUGAGAGUAUUUGAGGUGAUGAUAACAUCAUCAACAUAUAUUAAAACUGCGAUGAAUGUGGCUGUAGUUUUUCUGAUGAAGAGGCUUGAAUCAGAUUUGGCUUGGAUGAAACCAAAUUUUAAUAGAGAGGUGGACAGUUUGGAAAACCAUUGUCGGGAAGCUUGUUUCAGGCCAUAUAUGCUCUUUUUGAGUUGACAAACUCGAUGAUCAUGGGGAGUGGAGUAACCAGGAGGUAAUUGCAUAUAGACUUCCUCAUGUAAAUCUCCAUGCAAGAAGGCGUUGUCUACAUCCAGUUGAUGUAGAUGCCAGUUGUUAACAGCCGCAAUGGUGAGAAAAACUCUGACUGUUGUCAUUUUGGCUACAGGGGAAUAAGUGUCAAAGAAAUCAAUGCCUUCUUGUUGAGUGUAUCCCUUAGCUACUAACCUGGCUUUGUAACGUUCGACUUUGCCAUUGCUUGAAAUUUGACUUUGUAAAUCCACUUGCAGCCAAUUGCAGAUUUGUUGGGAGGCAGAGGAACUAAAUCCCAGGUUUGGUUGUGUUCGAGAGCUAAAAUUUCAUUAGUCAUGGCUUGUUGCCAAUGUGGAAUGGUGCUGGCUUGUUUGUAAGUUUUUGGUUCAAAAAUUAAGGAAACAGAAGAAGUGAAAGCACGGUGUGGUGAGGAUAAUUGAGAAGUAGAUAAGAAGGAGAAGAGUGAGUGUGGCUUACCAGAAAUGGAGAUAGGGUCUGCUGAAGGAAUCUGAGCCAUGGUGCCACAAUAGUACUGUUGUAAAUAAUGAGGGGGUUGUGUAGUACGUGUAGACCUUCUAAGAUGAGAAAUAUCAUUUGAAGGUAAGGUAGAAUUGGUGGGAACAGGAGGUUGUAAAGGCAAUGUGGGUGAGGAAGUGGAAUGGUUUGGAGGAGGUUGGGAUGUUUGGCUAGGGAAAGGGGCAAAGACCUGGGGAAAAUCUGGAAAUACUAGGGGUGUAUGAACUGUUUUUGGUAUGGAGGGGAAUAUGGAUUCAUGAAAGAUGACAUUACGAGAUACAAAUGUUCUGCAUGUGUGUAAGUCAAGGACUUUGUAACCUUUGAUAUGUGGAGGAUAGCCAAGAAAAAGGCAUUUGGUGGCCCGUGGGUGAAAUUUGCCUCUGUUGUGGGUGAGGGUGCUGGCAAAGCAUAAGCAACCAAAAACUUUGAGGUGUUUGUAAGUUGGUGGUUUGUUGAAUAGGAGCUGAUAUGGUGUUUGUUUUUGAAGAAGGAUGGAAGGUGUGCGAUUAAUAAUGUGGGUGGAGGUGAGGAUGCAAUCGGUCCAGUAAGUUAAGGGGAGUUUGGUUUGAAACAUGAGAGCUCUUGCUACAUUGAGUAGAUGCUGAUGUUUCCUUUCAACUUUGCCAUUUUGUUCAGGUGUCUCAACGCAUGUUGUUUGAUGAAUAAUGCCAUGGUCUUGGUAAAAAGUUGGCAUGUUAAACUCUUGUCCAUUGUCUGUCCUGAUAGUUUUAAUGCUGGUAGUGAAUUGAUUAUGAACAUAGGUGAGAAAGUUGCUUAGAAGACCUCUAGUAUCAGAUUUUGAUUUCAUUAAGAACAGCCAAGUGAAUCUACUGUAAUCAUCUACAACAGUAAGAAAAAAUUGAUGACCAGUGUAUGAAGUAACAGAAAAGGGUCCCCAAAUGUCAAUGUGGACCAACUGAAAAGGCUGUGUAGAUGUAUGCAUGGAUAAUGGGAAGGGCAGCCGUUUUUGUUUGGCUAAGGGGCAAAUGUCACAAAUGGAGUUUCCAGGGGAAUUGACUGAAGGAUCUAUUUUGUGAAGAAUGUUGAUUUUGGAAGUAGGAAUGUGUCCUAAACGAAAAUGCCAAAGAUCAGUGGUGGCAGUACAAGAUUGAAUUAAUGCUGUGGAAGGUGGACAUUCUGUAGAUUGAUCAGUAGGUUUGUGGAGAUGGUAUAAGCCAGAUUCAACUUCAGCAUGCCCAAUCGUCCUCCAUUUGUUGAGGUCCUGCAGGAAGCAUUUUGUGUGAAGAAAGAACAAGCCAACAGUGUUAUCAGCAGUUAGUUUUGAAACAGAAAUAAGAUUAAUAUGGAAAGAUGGUACAUAAAGGGCAUUGUGUAAGGUUAUAUCAGGUGAAAACUGAACCUUCCCUGAAAAAAGAAUAGGCACUUUGUGGCCAUUUGGCAGAUGAACCUGACUUUGUGUUGUGGGCAGAACAAUGGAUUCGAAAAGAUUGGGGCUACAGAUCAUGUGAUCUGUUGCUCCUGUAUCAAGAAUCCAGGUAAAUUUGUUCUGAGGUGAAGAACUGGUAUGGCAUGAAAAGGAUAUACCUGAGGCAAUUACUUCUUUGGCAGUGCUGGUUAUCUUGGAAUUGGAAAUGCUAUUUGCAAGGGUAAGUAAGUUCUGCAUUUGCUCUUGGGAGAAAGUGAUGCUGGGAGUUUCUUGAUGUUGAUCAAGAACAGUAGAGUUAUGUGCAGUAGGCAGUCUUUGAUGAGUCCUGUUUGCAGGUGUCAUAGCAGCAAAUCUUUUUCCUUUUGGCCCCUUCCAUCCAGGGGGAUAUCCAAUAAUCUGAAAGCAUUUAUCAACUAAAUGGCCUGGAUAUCCACAGUGAGAGCAAGUUACCUCAGAUUUUCCUUUUUGUCUAGUAAAUCGAGUCACAUAUGUUGAGCCUGUUCUUGGAUUUGGAUUAUGAUAUUGUGCAGCAGCCAGAGCAUGUGAAUCAACAGGAAUACCUACCAUAUUCGUCAGGGUCCUUUGGCUUUCUUCUUGUAAAAGUAAAGAAAAUACUUUUCCCAUGGAUGGUAAGGGAUUUUGAAGCAGUAGUUGGCUUCUAACUGCAGAGAAGGAAUCAUGGAGCCCUACCAGAAAUUUCAUUACAUAAUCAGAUUGUUGUCGAUCUGUGAGGAGUUUCAGAAUGUUGCAAGAACAUGAAUCAAAGUUUCCACAUUUGCAGGUUGGUAUUGGACGAUAGCUGAUGUAUUCAUCCCAUAGAGCUUUGAAUUCACUAAAGUAAUCUGUGAUAUUUUUUGAGUUUUGAGAGAUAGAACUUAAAGAUUUCUCCAAACUGAAGACUCUUGGGCCAUCACUUUUCAGGUAUCUUACCCUCAAUUCUUCCCAAAUUUCGAAGGCUGUUGUGAAGUAAAGAAGACUGCUGCGAAUAUCUUUAGUGAUGGAAUUCAUUAGCCAUGAUAGAACUAGAUUAUUUGAUCGUAGCCAUGCCACCUGAAGAGUUUGAUUGUUGGUGAUGGGUUGAGAUAAAGAACCAUCAAUGAAAGCAAUCUUGUUUUUCACAGUUAAAGCAAUUUUCAUGGAUCUGCUCCAUGCAAUGUAAUUGUCACCAGUGAAGAUUUCUGAAACCAGUAAUGCACCGGGAUUAUCAGAAGGGUGAAGGUAGUAACAGCUAGAAGAAUCAUCAGAUAGAUUCAUAACAGUGGUGUUGAAUGAAUCAUUGUGGGCUGUAGAAGCAUUUCCUUCAAAGUGAUCAGACAUUUUUGUAAAGUCUGUGAGGGAUUUCAAGAAGAUGAUGAAGGAGAGGAUUUUUGAAUCUUUCUGUUGAUGAGAAACAGAUUAUUUUGCAGAGAAGAAAAGAAACAAAUUUUAGUAGUUUAUGCUCUGAUACCAUGUGAAAAUUCCUACGCAAGGAAUCUUUAAGAUAUGAAGAUCUUAUGCUAUAGAAGCAGAGAGCAGAUUUGAAUGGAAAGCAAGAACUGCCUUCAGAAAUAAUAUUGCAGAAUUUCUUAUACAAUCGUACUUCUUUCUGUGUACAUGAAUGAGUAUAUAUAUACAUAUAUUCCAACUAACUAACUAACUUUCUUUAACUAAUUAACAGAAUAUAACUAACUUCUAACUGUUUUAACUGUCAGGAUUUAACAGUAAUGCAUAUAUAUUUAAUCUGCUGGGAUUUCUUCUGCGUCUGCAUGGUGCUGGGAUGUUUCUGUCGUUGUGUUGAUCUUUGGAGGAUUGUGUAGACUCCAAUACAGUAAAACAUCUUGAUAUUAGAAUGAUGCUUAAAUUCACAAAAAAUAAAAAAUUAUUGUUUGUAAGAAAUUGAAAAUGAGAAGAUCAAAAUUCAAACAAAUAAAAAACCAAUUCUUCUAACUUCUCCAGCAAUGUGAAGCCAAUUUGUAUCAAUGGAACAUUUGGAAUUAUUUGAAAAAUAAAUGCCCAAAUAUAUUCACAUGCUCAUACAAUAACAUUUUUAAUAAUGCAUUAUGCACUAGAAACAGAACAUCAAAUUGACAGAGAAAACAUGCUGAUGCAGAAAAAACUCGAUAAUUGUUCUAGCGACAACUCCUUUAGAUUAGGAAGCACUAUCUCCUUCUCAACAAUUCUUCUUCUUCUUCUUUUACUUCUUUCCACCCGUUAUUUCUGGUCCACUCUCUAUUAAUGCUUGAAUCUUCAGCUACUUCAGAUACCUGUAAACCAAUUCAAGCAUGGCAUGCUCAUUUUAACUUGUAAAUCUUAUUAUUGAGCGAAACAAGAGACAAACACACUAAAAGAGAGGCAAGAAAUCAAGUCAAAUCAGCAGCACCUCUGAUUGAGCACUCAUUGUGUUAAAGAUUAUACAAAACACACAUGCUAAUCAUCCGCUGCAGAUAAAGGAAACCAUGUAUGGUGCAUACAUAUCCUCUGAAGACUCCCUGUCAACAUACAUAUCCUCUGAAGACUCCCUGUCAACAUACAAUUCCAGCUGAAACAAACUUCUAGUCAUUGUAUUUAUAUUACAUACAACUUGUAAUCUAUCUUAUAAAAAGGAACUCACAUUAAUAAAGAAAGUAUGUUCAGCAAUUUUCUAUAUGGUAUCAGAGCCUACCCUUUCUCUCACGAGACUCUCCAAUAUGGCCUCAACUACAGAUGAUGUCAUCAUAAACUCUGAAACUCACAGCAAUGGUGAUACUCACCUCAUUGCAUUCAAUGCUAGUUCUCAACUUCCCCUGAAACUGACACCCUCGAAUUUUCCCUCCUGGCGUGCUCAACUAAUGUCCUUGCUCAUAGGUUACAACCUACAAGGACAUAUUGAUGGAACCACUAGUUGUCCAUCUCAAACAUUACAUGAUCCAAAUACUGGAUUAUCUACUGCAGGUGAUUCAAAUCCUGCUUUCUGGCGCUGGUUUCGGCAAGAUAACUUGCUCCUUCAUGCAAUCCUUGCAUCUGUUUCAGAACCAGUUUUGCCAUUAAUCGCCACUUCCACCACCGCUCGUGAUGCAUGGGUCAAAAUACAACGAUUGUAUGCAAAUCGAUCACGCACGCGUGUCAUGCAACUCAAGGAAGAGUUGACACUUAUACAAAGAGGAAGCCAGUCAGUUUCAGAUUACCUCAACACUGUCAAAAGGCUAGUUGAUGAACUCACUGUCAUUGAUACUCCCAUAUGCAUAGAUGACAUUACGUUAUAUAUUCUCAAUGGAAUAGGAGCAGAAUUUCUUGAUAUAGCAACCAUGAUACGAACCAGAGAAACAUCCUUCACAUUUGAGGAACUCCAUGAUGUAUUAAUCAGUCAUGAAAAUUAUCUCAAGCGCAUUGAUGUCUCCAACUCCAGAUUAAUAGCCACUGUUAAUGCAGCUCAACACAGCAGAUACUUCAAACCAGGACGCUCUUCAAACCCUCCUACUGGUUACUACAGAUCCAACCAACGAAGAUACGUUCCCAGAGACAAAUCCAGUCAGCCUCCACUAAUUUGUCAACUAUGUGAUACCAAAGGACACUCAGCCAAAACAUGUCGCAAGGUAUCAAGGCCAAAAACUGCAAAUUGUGCAGCUACAAAUGGCACACAGGAGAAGAAAUGGCUCAUGGACUCAGCAGCAUCACAUCACAUCACCUCUGAUCUCACAAACCUCUCAAUUCACUCUGAAUACGAUGGAACAGAUGAAGUAGUCAUCGGUGAUGGCUCAGGUUUGAAAGUAACACAUGUUGGCUCCAUGUCAUUGAGCUCAUUGUCAAAAUCCUUUCUUCUGCAUAAUACUCUCUGUGUCCCAAACAUACACAAGAAUUUAGUCUCUGUUCAUAACUUUACCCGUUCAAAUAAUGUCUACAUAGAAUUUCAUCCAUUCUAUUUUCUUAUGAAGGAUCAGAACACGGGGACAACAAUACUUCGCGGUGACUGCCAGGAUGGUGUCUAUCCACUGCCACAACUAUCAUCAAUCAAGAAGCCUUCAGCACUUGCACUUGUUGGUGAAAGAACCUCCCUUGAUCGUUGGCACACACAGGCUUGGUCACCCCUCCACCAAAAUCUGUCGUUCCCUAAUUAGUCGGUUUUCCCUUCCAGUUCUAGGCUCCACCCAAACUUUGUCAUCUCUGUGUUCAGCUUGUCAAAGCAAUAAAAGUCAUCAAUUAUCGUUUUCAAAAACAUCACUCACAAGCACACAUCCUCUACAAAAUAUCUACACAGAUAUAUGGGGACCAGCAGCUUCAACCUCCAUCGAUGGUUAUCGAUAUUAUGUUUUAUUUGUGGACCACUUCACAAAGUACUGCUGGUUCUUUCCAAUUCAUCACAAAAAUGAUGUUCGUCCCAUUUUCAUUCAAUUAAAAGGAUUUGUUGAAAAACAGUUUGGUUUUCAAGUUAAAAAUCUAUACUCUGACAAUGGCGGUGAGUACCAGAGUUUGCGUCAGUAUCUAUCAGAUCAGUCUAUAAAUAUGCUCACCACUGCUCCACACACACCACAACAAAAUGGACAAGUGAACGAUGACAUCGUCACAUUGUUGAGACAGGUCUCACAUUGCUUCAUCAAGCACAUCUUCUAGUGUCCUACUGGACACAUGCCUUUCAAACUACAGUUUAUCUAAUUAACCGCAUGCCAACUUCAAUUCUUCAAAACAAAAGUCGUUUGAAAGCAUCUUUGGUCGUCAACCAAAUUAUCACAAACUGCGCACCUUUGGGUGCCAGUGUUUUCCAUGGCUCAAACCUUACAAUCACAACAAGCUGCAACCAAAGUCCAAAGCAUGCAUUUUUCUUGGUUACUCAAGCACUCAAAACAAUAUAAAUGCAUGGACAUUCACUCAUCCCGGAUUUACAUCUCAAAACAUGUUGUCUUUGAUGAAACUGUUUUUCCCUACUCUGCCUCCACUAGUGUGUCAUCACCAUCACAUGCAGGGAAUCCCACAAUCAUCUCUACCAUCCCGGUGGUUCCACCCUCAAGAAGAUACCAUCCAGGCAAUCAUCAGAGACACCUGUUGCUCCUGUUGUUCCUCCAACUCACCACCAACAUAGAUUCUGAUCCACCCCCUGCACCAUCAGAAACAGGUUAGUAAUACAGCCACCAUUGUCACAAUCACCCACAAGACAACAUAACAUGAUCACAAGAUCCAUGAACAACAUCUAUAAGCCAAAACAAAUCCACCUCACCACCAAACACCCCCUCCCACAACCCAUAGAACCAACAUGUGUCUCUCAAGCCCUGGAAGAUAAAAAAUGGCGACAUGCCAUGUCUGAAGAGUUCAACGCCUUGGUUAAACAUGGCACCUGGGAACUGGUUCCAUCCAAGCCAUCCAUCAUUCCUGUAGGUUGCAGGUGGUUCUUUCGUAUUAAACACAAUGCUGAUGGCACAAUAUCAAGAUACAAAGCAUGUCUGGUAGCUAAAGGAUAUCAUCAACGUUAUGGCCUUGAUUACAAUAAGACCUUCAGUCCAGUCGUCAAACCAGUAACAAUCAGAACUGUGUUAUCCAUUGUUGUUCAACAUCGCUGGUGCAUGAAACAACUGGACGUAAAUAAUGCAUUCCUUCAUGGGUCCUUACAAGAAGAUGUUUACAUGAUUCAGCCCCCAGGAUUUGUCGACUCCACAGUGCCCACCCACAUCUACAAACUACACAAAUCCAUCUAUGGCUUAAAACAGGCACCACGUGCCUGGUAUGACAAACUCAGCUCCUUUCUUCUGACACUAGGAUUCAAGCAAUCAAAGUCUGACUCCCUCCUUGUUUAUCUACUCAAAGCAGGACAUCAUCUUAUUUCUACUGGUAUAUGUUGAUGAUGUGUUACUCACAGGUACUGAUUCCCAGGUUAUGGCCGACAUAAUACGUCAACUUGGUGCCCAAGUCUCACUAAAGGACCUUGGUGACCUGCACUAUUUUAUUGGGAUCGAAGUGCAGCCAACUCGUGAGGGAAUCUUCCUAUCUCAACAAAAAUACAUCAGAGAUCUCCUCAAGAGAACUAACAUGGAAGGAGCCAGACCAAUUCACACACCGAUGUCCACCAAACCAACACUUCAACUCAAUGAUGGUCAUCCCCUUGCAGACCAGAAACAAUAUCGAAGUGUCAUAGGAGCCCUACAGUACCUAGCCAUCACCAGACCAGACAUCGUUUUUGCUGUGAAUAAACUUGCUCAAUUCAUGCACCAACCCAGUCAACUUCACUGGACUUCAGCAAAACAGGUAUUUCGGUAUCUCAAAGGCACAAUCACUCAUGAGAUAUCAUUAACGCCCUCUGUCAAUCCUCAUCUCUCCGGAUACUCAGAUGCAGACUGGGGCAUUGAUCCAGAAAAACAGACACUCUACCUCUGCCUAUCUCAUAUUCUUUGGCAACUGUCCAAUCUCAUGGAGCACAAGGAAACAACAUUCAGUUGCCAGAUCCUCCACAGAGGCCGAAUAUAGGGCCCUAGCCUCAACAACUUCAGAACUCAUAUGGAUUCACAAUUUACUUCAUGAACUGGGAAUCAAGAUGUCCCAACGUCCUAGCAUAUUCUGUGAUAACAUUGGAGCUACUCAACUGAGUCAAAAUCCAGUACUGCACUCUCGCAUGAAACACAUCGCCAUUGAUCUGCACUUUGUUCGCGAUCUGGUAAAGAAAGGCGUUUUAGAUGUCUCCCAUGUCAGUACCCAUGACCAACUUGCUGACUUCCUCACUAAACCCCUUCCACGUAUCAAGUUUCAAGCUAUGGUAAACAAGAUAGGCUUACUCAUCAGCCCGCCUAUCUUGAGGGAGCGUGUUAAAGAUUAUACAAAACACACAUGCUAAUCAUCCGCUGCAGAUAAAGGAAACCAUGUAUGGUGCAUACAUAUCCUCUGAAGACUCCCUGUCAACAUACAAUUCCAGCUGAAACAAACUUCUAGUCAUUGUAUUUAUAUUACAUACAACUUGUAAUCUAUCCUAUAAAAAGGAACUCACAUUAAUAAAGAAAGUAUGUUCAACAAUUUUCUAUACAUUGAACCAUCUGGUGUAGUAGCAAAUUUUGUGGUAAGCUUUGGACAUUGAUGGACCUUCAACUUCUCCAAACGAGGGAAUAAGAAAUAAUCACAUCAUCCGAAACUAAAACAGACAAUACUUGAUAAUUGUUCUAGCGACAACUCCUUUAGAUUAGGAAGCACUAUCUCCUUCUCAACGUUGAUAGGUGAAGCUUGAUCAUUGAAGACAUAUUCCAGUUUACCACACUCUUUUAUGAUGAUAGUUUUUAAUUUUGGGAAGCAAGGAGAUUCUGGAAUUAUUUCCCUUUCACCAUCCUUUUCUCUGAUAAUAUGCUUCAAUUCACCCCAUUUACUUAUCUCAAGUCUUUUUAGCUUUGGCAGACUUUGAGCGAGGGAUGGUGUAAAGAUAAAUGUCAGUUUGUCGAGAUAAUCCAACUUCAGAUGAGCAAGACUUUGGAGGCUGACAUUCCUGGUGGGACCCUUCCAUAUACAUUUGAGCUCAGGUAACCUUUGCAGCUGUAACUCUGUUAAAGAUGACAGCAGCUCCUUCUCCUCACAGCGUCCUUCAUCAGGCAGCUCACCUAAUUCAAAUACCUCUUCCAAUGAUUCGCAGUCCUCAAUUUCCACCUCCCAUAGAUUUUUCAAAGCUUGCAGCAAUUUUGCUGGAAAUGGAGUGCGAACAUCCCCACAAUCGUGCACUCGUACAAUUUCUAAUCUUUGUAAGAAGCCGUUUUGCUGUCCAUGGAUGACCAUCUUAUCAGAGAACAAUAUUAUAUUUUUUCACUCUCAUAAAAACAAUUUAUAUGAUGUAUAAAUAGGAGAAAAAAAGGAUUAAAUACUUCUUAGAGAUUACAUAUUAUUAUUUCAGUUUUUUUCUUAAUUAGAGAUAAGUUGAAUAAUAAUUAGAUUUUUGCGAAAAAAGGUUAAAACAACGCCUAAUAAUUAGUUUCAUGUAAAAAAUAAAAAUAAAAAUAAAAAUAGUAACUAAUAUUUUUAUUUUAGUUAUAAAGUUAAUGAAUUUUUAAAGAUAUUUUAAUUGAAUUAAAUAUUUGAACACAAAUUAAGCUAAUAUGAUUUCUAUGAUUAAUUGUUGGUAUUAAGUUUCUUAUAUUUAUAUAUGUUUAGAUAAAACAAAAAAAUAAGCAGUGACGAAGAAAGAAUAAAUCUAACAGAUAAUAUAAAUUACAUAAACGAUGAGGCAGUUAAAUCUAACAGAUAAUAUAUUUCAAAUGAGGCAGUUAUAUCUAACAGAUAAUAUGUUCUUCCAUAUGAUUAAUUUUAAUUAACGCAAACAACAAUGAGGCAGUUAAGUUUCUUAUAUUUAUAUAUGUUUAGAUAAAAAAAAAAUCAUAAAAAAUAAAAAUAAGCAUUUAUCAAUUACUUUACUUUUAGAAAUUGGGAGGAAGAAAGAAUAAAUUAUCGCAAUUGACAAUUUAAAUUAGUGGAGAAAUAUAAAGUACGUACUUGUAGCUGUGCCAACCAAUUACCCACUUCUUCGUGGCCUUUAAUGGUUAGUUGUUGCAAAGGCAAUUGAGCAUCAAAAUUCGUUGGACCUAAAAAGCUGUAAUUUGAUUGGAGCCGAAGAGACAAUUCUCUUAGCCGAGGGAACUUGAUGAUGCCAUCUCUGGGGAGUGCAUCUCCUUCUCCACCGUAAAAUAUUUGCUUUAAAUUGUCAGCACGAUCAAUCGUCAUCUGUUCCAGGUUCGUAAGACUUGGAGACAUGGAGACAGGGAAGAAAUAUUCCAGUGAAAAACAGAGAGAUAUAUAGAGAGUUUUUAAUUUUGGAAAGCAAGGAGACUCUGGAAUUAUUUCCCUUUCACCAUCCUCUUCUCUGAUAAUAUGCUUCAAUCUAUGACAAUCUUCUAUGUAAAGCUGUUCUUGCUUUGGUAGAUUUCGAGCGAGGGACGGUGUGAAGAUAAAUGUCAGUUUGUGGAGAUACGAAACUUUCAGAUGAACAAGAUUUUCGAGGCUGACAUUUCUGGUGGGCCCCUUCCAUAUGCAUUUGAGCUGGGGUAACUCUGACAGCUGUUAAAGAUGACAGCAGCGGCAGCUCCUUCUCCUCACUGCUUCCUUCAUCAGCCUCACCCAAUUCAAAUACCUCUUCCAAUGAUUCACCGCUGUAAACAAUCACCUCCUUUAGAUUUUUUAAACCUUGCUCAAAUUCUAAUUUAUGUAAAAACAAUUGCUCAAAUGUCUUCGCAUUGAAGGAUGUACCAUCCAAACUUAAUCUUGUCGAGGAUGGGUAUUGUCCUUCAUCUAAUGAUAUGUGCC